AUAUGUUAUCGAAAUGGAAAGGCAAAUAAAAGUUGAGUGCUACUAGAAUUCAAUACCUCACCUUCUGAACUGAAACUCGACUUCUUCACCGACGACGACUAAUUAAAUAAUUACAGCUGCUUACUUCUACAUUACAGAUCAACCAACGAGAUCCAGAACACAGUGAUUUCCCAUUAAGAUCGGAUAUCAAACAAUUGCUGGGGAAGCAUUUUCUUCCUUCUUCCCAUUUAUCAAAGAUAGCCGAAACGAAAAAUAAUUCAAAGGACUUCAAAGUCAAAGAGGCCCAAAAAGAAAGGAAGGGUGUUAGCUGUAAGGAAGAGGUGGGAAGAAGAUCAUGAGGAAAGCUACAAGCUCCUCUAUUCGUAAGGAUGAGAUUGUUCAAGCAUGUGAAUAAGAAGAUACUUUCCCAUGUCUUUUCUGGUUGGAGAAGAAGACUCGUUGACUUGAGUUGGGUCUCCUCAACUUCUUCUAUUACUCAUUUGCCAUUUUGCCCAUGGGUAGCGGUUUAAAAUUGCUUUCUAAACGGUUUUUUUAAUUAAAAAAUAUUUAAAAUUAAAAUUUUUAUAUUUUAAAAUAUAUUGAUAUUAAAAUUAACUUUUAAAAAAUAAAAAUAUUUAUUUUAAUAUUUUUUUUAAUUAAAACAAAUAUUUUAAAAAAUAACUACUAACACCCUCCUAAACUUUUUCCCAGUAGAGGUACUUAAAAUUAAAAAUCUAAUGAUAAAAUCCUUUAAUUAUUAAAAUCAUAAAUCAAUAAUUACAUAUAUAUAAUUAUAUAUAUAUAUAUAAUUAACAUAUUUUAUCUAAAUCUCAAAUUGGUCUUUUUUUUUCUAUCAUAAUGAAAUAUAUAAAUUAAUAAAUUUAUAAAUGUUAACUAUACUUUUUAGUUUAAUUUUUAUAAUAAAACGAUUUUACUCUUAAUAACCUAGAAAUGUGAAACAAAUACAUAAUUAACUAAAAUUAUGAUAUUUCAUUUAAAUUAACUCAAAUAUUUUAAGCAAAUUGCACAUAAGGUAGAAGUUUAAUGUUAUAUAUUCUGCCUUUUAUUAAAUAACUUAACUAAAAAUUAAAGAUAUAAUUAAUUGAUAUAAUUACACUUAUAAAAGACUUAUUAGAAAUAAUCUUUAAGAUAUAAGGAAAUAUGAGGUACUUAUCAUGAGUAAGUGAUAUUUUUUAUACUUAUAAUGAGUAAGUGAUAUUUUUUAUAUCAAAAUACAUUGUGAAGGUCGUGUGACUUCUUUGUUAAUUUGAAUGGAAAAAAUAAACAGAACAUGUUAGAAAAAAUAAUUUAUCUUGGAAUUAAAUUAUAUCAUUAGAGAUAUAAAGAGAAAUUAAAAACACAUUCUCUUAUACAAGGAUUCAUUAAUUAAACCAUUUCUCCUUAAAAACCUCCGACCUCAAAGUCUCCAUUGUCAUUCCUAUUUGGUUUUCUAGAUUUUAUAAUGAAGAGAAGGAUGGGGAAAGGAAGAAGAUCAUGUCUGUGUUUCCUUCCCAAAUUAAUUACAGGUUUUUAGAAUUUAUGUCGGUUUAUGUAAACAAAUGUCUUUAUUAUAUUAUAACAAGGAAAUGUCUUAUGAGGUAAAUCUUGUCAGGUUGUUCUUGUUUGGUAUUGGUGGAUUUGGAGGAGGAGGAAUAUUUUAGCUUUUAGAGAGUAGUAUUUAGAGGAUAAUCGGUUGUUACGUCAAAUUUAUUUUUUAAAAAAUGUGUGUUGCGAUGCUUGGAAUAAUUGAACUAUGGUAUAUAGGCACCCCCCACAACCAUCUCAUGGCUUAAGCCAGAAGAAGGAUUUAUUAAACUGGAUAUGGAUGACAACUCUCUUUGGAACCCGAGGAGGAUUGGAUUUGGGGUCUCUUAAGAAAUUCUGAAGGGAGAUGGUUGAUGAGUUUUACGAGUUAUUGCGGUUUUAGUUCUAAUCUAUUUUUAGAAUUACUAGGAAUUAAAUAUCAUUUAUUGGUAAUAUGAGAUAGAGAUUUCAGAAAGAUCAUAUACAACUCUAAUUCUAUAGAUGUUAUUCAAUUAAUUUAUAAUGAUUUUAACAAGUAUCAUUUAUUCAGAGUAGUUAUUUUUUACAUCAAAGAACUCCUGACAUGAAAUUGAAAAGUUCGUUUGUUUCAUACUUUAUGCGAAGCUAAUUCAUGUGCUAAUUCAUCAUAUUCAUUAACUACAAACAAUUAAAUUCAGAUUAAGUAGAUAUAAUUUAUACAUAUAUAUAAAAAUAACAACUUAACUGUCUAUUAUUUUUUCUCUCUCGCCUAAUUUAACUAGCAUUACAAGCUAUGAGUAAGCCAACUUUACCGAAUAUUUGAAUCUUAAAGAAACUUGAGUCAUGUAUAUCAAGAAAUCUGAUGCCUAGUCUUAAUAAGUACACAGCUCAUUUUAUUAUCAAUUUUGGCUUGGGAGCUGCUUGACUAAUAUUUUUGAGCUUGUUUACGUGCUGACUCAGAAUUUCUGACUAUAAAUAAAUUUUGCUCAAUUUCUAAAAGAUUUAUUUGUAUGAAUCCCCUUAUUGGCGCAUUCAACAUUUUGAUUUAUUAGAGAAAUGAAAGUUGGAGCUUUUUAAAUUCACUACGCCAUUAGUUAAAUCUCUUAAUAGGAGGGGUGAGUAUUUUCAUACAGAUUGAUUUUGGUUUGGUUUGCUUCGUGUUGCUAAAAAAUCAGCAAAUUUGAAAAAUUGACUUAUCAGACAUCAUCAAGAACAGCAGAAACUAGUUCUUUGCAUCUAAAUCAAUGAACCUUUUGUAAACAUCAAGCAAAUGGAAGGUCUCGUAUCAAUGUUUGAAUGAAUUUUUAAAAAUAGCACUCACUACUAGAUAGAUACUUCACCGGAAUUUGUUGCGGGCUAAUUUUUUUUAUUUAAUAAAAUUUUUUAUAUAUACAAGUCUUUUUGAUGUAUUUUUGUAAUUAAAAAAUUUCUAAGUUAAAAUUCAAAAAGCUUAUAUCUACAUGAAAUAAACAAAUCAAGAACUAUCUAAGUUAAUAAAUGAAAAAAAUUAUAAAUGAUAACUAGAAACAGAUAUAAAUUAAGAUAUUUAAUCUUGUAAGAUGAGAUAUUUAUCCAGAUAUAUUUGUUAAAUUUAUUUAUUUAUUUAAUCAAAUGAUAAUAGAAAUAGAAACACAUAGUAAAUUGACUGAAUAAAAUAAAAAAAAUAUUAUACAAGACUAAACAUAUUAUAAAUAUUAUAUAAAAAUAAAUACUUUUUAUUUAAAAAAUAAAUUUCAUUCAUACAGAAAAUAAAAUUAUAGAUGAAUCUAUACUUAUUGAUUUAUAUACCUGUUUGCAUGUUCUCAUCACUGAUGGUUGGUGACAUUUCUUGCUUUUUUUGAGAUAUUUUUAGCUUGGUUUUCUUUGAUGAUUAUGAAAUUUAUGAUUGAAUGAUGCUACAAAAUUCCUAGAGAAUAGAAUUAUAUGACAGCAUAUUUUUUCCUGACUCAAAGCCUCUCAUAAAGUGGGUGUGGACCUAUUCUCUCAAUUAAUUCUUCAAAAUUCCCUGCAAUCUUUCCUUACAAUUGUUCUGCACAUAUAUUUUAGAAGUUUUAUUAAGGAAUUUUAUCUCCCAGUUUCUUUCUUUGUUUGUUUUCUUUCGAACUUGCUGAGAUGUUUUGUUCUUAUAUAUAGCAUCUCCAAUUGCUGGUUUUGCUGUUGUUAAGCUGGAGGAAAUUACUGGUUAUGUAAGCAUAGGCUACCCUUUUGGCUUAACUGCUUCAAUUCUGUUUGCGCGACACUCUGAAAUGGAAGGACCUAAUUAUGAUGCUCAGAUGGUGGAUUUAAUUCUGGGUUUCCUUGCUUCUUUGAAGGGAUCAACAGCCUAACCAACCAAAACAUUUGCACCACUAACUUGUAGAAUCAGCUGAGACAUAACCAAGUCAAAGUAAGGUAUUGAGAAUUGAACAAUCAUAAGGAAAAUCGUAUGGAUAGAUGAUCCUGUGUAUCGAUCUGCAAUGCUUAAACAUGAAUGGAGAACAUCAUGUUUAGAUCCAAUCCCCUUUUGCCUUCACGUUGACAUUGGUUAACUUUCAUUUUGCUUACAUUUUGAUCUUCAGGAUUGGCGCAUUUAGGUUUGAUUCCAGAAGAAGAAUUUGGGAUAUAGCAUUGAUCAAGGAAAAGUGAGGAUACCGAAACAGUUGGUUAUCAUCACGAACAAGUUUUCACACUUUAGUAUGUCAUCCACGCUAUGUAUACUGUGGAAAACUUACGUAGUUUUUAUUUUUAUUUUUUGCUUUUCUGGAAUGAGUGUAUGUAUCAACUUUCCGAGAUAUCUCCUGUCUGAUUGUUAGGGUUUAGGAAGUAAGUUUUUCCAGGCAUCAUUGUUUGGUUUAGUCAUGUGAAACGUUGGUGCUAUUAGUUAAAUGCGUCAGCAUGUAUUUGGACUACAGAAAUGAAAGUUCAGGUGAAUAAGUUCAAGCUAUCUCAUUUCACACCAAAGCUUAAAGCAUCAUAAUCUAAUAUCUACUUGCUGGAGAUUGAAUGGCAAUGUUCUUUUCAAAAGCAACAUUGCGAAGGAACAAAGAAGGGGAAUUAUCAGUAUAUAUACCAGUAAUGUCAGAUAGGACUUUUGGUGAAAGUGGGGGAAUUUAGAUUUGAAUAAUGAUUUAUACAUUCAAGUUCUUGAAUUGCAAUGGAUUCAUUCAAGAUCUGCUGGAAGGAUUUGAGAGGAAACGGCGAAGCAGAGCUGCCAUGCUCUACCAUUAGAUUUGUACAUGUCAACAUCUUGCUGCAAAUUGUGCUGACAAAAAAAAAUGGUAAAAACGCCACAGUGUUGCUGGAUAGCAGUACAAAUGCAUUUAUAAUGUUAAGAUGGCACUUGAAGAAAAUUAUUGGUAGCAAAUUGUGCAUACAGUGGGCAUGGGGUGAAAAACCUUCCAUAGCAUCAUCCUCUUGGUCCUAACAAUUGUUUUGUUCCUGAAAUAACUUGUGAUUCAGGUGUACCUGCUACAGAAACAUUUUCUACAGUAAUUCAAGGCCAUUGCCGGAGCUGGCCUUCUGCUUGCUCUGAUCAAAUUUACAGAUUCAAAGUUCAUUGUGUGGUUUGCAGCUUUGUCCUUCAGUCCUGAUGGCAAGUUUACAGUGAUCUUUACUGGUUGAUUUUCCAAGACAACCUGGUAUAAUAUGCAAUUUCUUUGGGCCAAAUUUCACCUGCAGAAAAAUAUCACUUUUCCUUCUACACUGAUCAGAAAAGAUAGGUGGUAAAAUGUUUUUAAUUGGAUUUGGGAUGAUGAUACUAAAAGUAAUUUUUUAAAAAUAAAUAAAUAUUAUUUUUAUAUAUUUUUUUAAAAAAUAUAUUUUAAAAAACAAUAAUUCCUAUAUUUUCAAAUAUUAUUCUUGUCAAUGAAUAAUAUCAUGAAUGUUGUCUUAUUCAUUUAUUUUAUUUUUUUAUCUCAUUUGCUUUUAGAAAAUAAUUAAAGCUCUUGUUAUAAAUGGAUUAUAUCUCUCUUACAUAUAGAUUAAAUUAACUAAAAUUUAACCAUCAUUUGUUGAUGUUGUCUCAUUCAAAUCUACCUGGCCUAAAUAUUCCAAACAAGCCCAUUAAAUAUAUUUUUGAGCUUCUUUCCUCUUGAUUUUGUAAUUAACCCAACUGAAACUUCUAAUGGAUAGUUUAGUAUAGUUUAAAUUGUAUUAUAUUUAACCUCACAACAUGAACCAUAUAUCAAAUAUGUUUAAUAGCUUUGUUUAUUAGAAUUAAUGUUUUAGUUAAUAAAAUAAUAAAAAAUAUGCAUAGAAAAGCGAUCAAAUAAAAUUAAAGAAAAAAAAAUUAUAAAUAGGACUACAUAUAAAUAAUGCCUUCUAAUAUAAAUAAAUUAAAAUCUUAUUUUUAAAUUAAGUAAAAGUUAAAAUAUUAUAUUACAAAAGCAUCAUAAAAUAUUUUUAAAAAAAACCAAUAAAAAUCCAAAAUAAAAAAAUAAUUUUUUUUUUUAAAAAACUUAAGGUAGACCAACACAUGAUGAAUAAUAUUUUAUUUAAAAUCAAAUUGGAUCUAAGAUUAAGCAUAAACAAGUGGAUCGUUUAAUUGUAAGAACAAUUAAAAGUCAUGUUUUGAUACUAAAUUUGAUGCUAGACAAUAAAUAAUAAAAAUUAAAACAAGAAAAAAAAAACUUCAGAGAAGAAGAAAGCUAAAGAAGAGAAGAAAGGGGAUUAGAGAUAUGUAAAGUCUGUAAUAUUUUUAUUAAUCAUCAAAAUUGUCUUACAAAAUGACAAAGAAACAUAUAAAUAAUAAAAUUUUAAAACAUCUUUUUAUUAGGCUCAGCCCAUCAAAUCAAACUGUUUAACAUAAAUAAUUUUAAAUAAAUAAAAUAACAAUGAAAUAGGUCCAAAUGGGUUUAGUCUCCCAACCAAAGCGUAAGAGGUUGGGUUAUCCUACGUCGUCUCCGUUCAUAUACUCGUGUAAUUUACAGUGUGAGUCUAGUCCCCACCAAUUAUUUAAAUACAUUUAUUUAAUAUUAGAUUGUGUUAAGGAAAUAAAAAUUAAAUAUUUGAAUGAAAAUAAUUGAUAUCGGUUAGAUAAGUGUUAUUUUAUAUGACAAUAUUUCUAUGCAUUUACAAUAAAAUUUAUAACAAAAAUGUAAAAGCAGAAUUUAUGGAGAGCUUCCUGCUAAAUAAAAAAAAAUGGUGGAAGGUCAUGCAUCUUCGUCACUUACGAAGGCACAAAGAAACAACAAACUACAUUGACAGUUUUAAUGAAAUAGCAUCUUUUAUUGUUCAGAAAAAAAGAGAGAGAAAAGUGAUCUGAAAUGCAAAAAUAGAACCAAAGAUAACAAGUAUGAAGCUAACCAUUCACCCCAACAAUCAUAACCCAAAAAUAAGAAAAAAGCCAACAACUGCAAUCCAAUUACCAUAAUGACUCCAAGCAUUCCCAUCUUUUCCUGUGGACGAUAAAACUGCAGUUAGGAUCAUUACAUUCAAGGGCCAAGUCAUCGCAAGGGUCACCACAAGCAUCGCAUGCCUGUGGACGAUAAUCCUCUUUCUUGACGACCAAAGCAAGAGGGUGAGGGUGAUUAGGAUAUGUGCGAACCCCCCCUGGCUUGAAAUAUGGGUAUUUCCCGAGAGCACAUUCUGGAUGAGCAUCGAAGUCGCAUUCCUCACAACGGUAGAACCAAAGCUUCGGGUCUCUAUCUUUUUCACAAAUUAUGCAGGAAGGCUGGUAGUCAUUUUGAUUAAUGUAGGUGAGGAAGAGAGGAUGGUCAUCAUACUCGUGUCUUGCUUUGUAUGGCAGUGUAGCACAUUUCAUACCCAGCUUGAAAUCGCAAACCGCACAUUUAAAAAAUACCUCUGAUUCUUCACUGACACAACAGCCACUGCAAUGCGGAAUAAUCUCUCUGUCAUCUGCAAGCAAAGAGGAAAUACAGCAACGGAGAAUAUUCUUUCUGUCCGCUGGAAGAUAAAGGGGAUGCUCAUGACCUCCAUGUUUAAAAGAAUCUUUCAAUAUUGAUUUGAAGCAUCGGACAUCAACGAAGAGUCCACAUACAUCACAUGUGUACCUGAGCCCACGAAAACGUUGAUUGCACACACGACACAUACACAGAUCAUGUUGCCCUCGGACCCAUGAAAGAAUCAGUUGGUUUUCGUGAUAUUGCCACUUUUUUCGCCUGGGUAAUUCUAUGCUGCAGGUUUUGUCAAGAAAGAAAUUACAACUGGCACAACUAUAAAAUGGAGUUGAGAUUGGUAACAUGCACCCAUCACACUUUAGAUCAUCAUCAACCUUGUCAGUAAGGAUUAGGUUAUGUUGAUGACUGAAAUGCUCGAUCUCUUCAAUUAUUCUCUCCUCUCCAUGCUUGAUCUCACGGACAACGCGAAAGCUAGGUUCCAUGAAUUGAUCAUCAACAGUCACACUUUGCUCUUCUUGCAGUCUCUGUUGCAUAAUCGCCAUAUUCUCUGCUACAAUUCACGUGUGCAACAAAGUCACAGUCUGGGCAAUAGUAAACUCCGUAUUCUGUGUCAACUUCCCGACGGCAAAUUCCACAGUACUUGUUUAUAGAUUCGAUGCAUUGUUGAGGAUGAUAGGUGUGGAUGAUUCGGGGAUGAUGGUGCAGUGCCGUUUUAAGGGUGCCUGGCAAUGAAAUGCAUUCUUCGUGGACCAAGAGUUGGCACAUGGUGCACACUAAUGGAGAGUCAUCUCCAUCAGUGCCGCAUGCAUUGCAAGUGAAGGAGAUUGAUUUUAGUGAAGGUGAAUUCAGUAGGCGUCUAAAUUGAUGCCCCUGAUCCUGAUCAGCUGCAUAAACGCACGGUGGAAAAGCACAUUUGAUAUGGAGGUUGAAUUCGCACACAAAACAGCAGUAAACAAAACUCUCAUAGCAAGUUUCGUUGCAAAAAUCCACAGAUCAUGAUGAUUUGGCAGUAGACGAAGAGGGUGUUCUGGAUGAAUGUGCCUCUUGAUCUCUGGGGGUAGCUCAGCACACUUCUUGUGAAGAAAGAGUUGCAAGAAGUGCAACUAUAGCUAGGACCAGACAUUGGUUCCUUGCACACAAGCACACAACUCCUUCACCAUGAUAUUCUUGCUCUUCAUUCAAAAUCAAUGGAUGAUCCUUGUGGGCAAAUUGAUGUGCCUGACUAUCAACUUCCAAAAAACCCGGUUGAAAAGCACAUUUGAUAUCAAGAUCAAACUUACAGAAAGAACAAUGGUAAACAAAACAGUUGAAAGUUUUGCGCACCGAUCACAACGGUAUUUCCUUUAUAUGGUGACUUUGCAGUAGAUGGAGAGGGUGUCUACGAUGAAUGCGCCGCUUGAUCUCACGGGGCAGCUCGGCGCAUUUCUUAUGAAGAAAGAAGUAGCAAGAGGUGCAACUGUAGCAAGGACCCCAUAUUGGUCCCUCGCAUCCAGAGCAAAUAACUAGUUCACAACUAUAUUCGAGAACUUGAUUAAUGAGGAUCAAUGGAUGAUCUGGGUGGCUAAAAUGUUCAACCUCCAUGUCUCUGGCUCUCUCAGAGGACAGAGCAGGAAAUGAGGGGUGUUGAGCCAAGGCAAGACUUAGGGAUGCCAAAUUGAAGCUGCCGAAUAUAUAUAUGUUAUCGAAAUGGAAAGGCAAAUAAAAGUUGAGUGCUACUAGAAUUCAAUACCUCACCAUCUGAACUGAAACUUGACCUCUUCACCGACGACGGCUAAUUAAAUAAUUACAGCUGCUUACUGCUAAAUUACAGAUCAACCAACGAGAUCCAGAACACAGUGAUUUCCCAUUAAGAUCGGAUACCAAUCAAUUGCUGGGGAAGCAUUUUCUUCCUUCUUCCCAUUUAUCAAAGAUAGCCGAAACGAAAAAUAAUUCAAAGGACUGAAAAUUCAAAGAGGCCCAAAAAGAAAGGAAGGGUGUUAGCUGUAAGGAAGAGGUGGGAAGAAGAUCAUGAAGAAAGCUACAAGCUCCUCUAUUCGUAAGGAUGAGAUUGUUCAAGCAUGUGAAUAAGAAGACAGUUUCCCAUGUCUUUUCUGGUUGGAUAAGAAGACUCGUUGACUUGAGUUGGGUCUCCUCAACUUCUUAUAUUACUCAUUUGCCCAUGGAUAGCGGUUUAAAAUUGCUUUCUAAACGGUAUUUUUAAUAAAAAUAUAUAUUUAAAAUUAAGUUUUUUAUAUUUUUAAAUAUGUUGAUAUUAAAAAUAUUUUUUAAAAAAUAAAAAUAUUUAUUUUAAUACUUUUUUCAAAUAAAACAAAUAUUUUAAAAAAUAACUACUAACACCCUCCUAAUCUUUUUCCAAGUAGAGGUAAUUAAACUUAAAAAUCUAAUGAUAAAAUCCUUUAAUUAUUAAAAUCAUAAAUCAAUAAUUACAUGUAUAUAUAAUUAACAUAUUUUAGCUAAAUCUCAAAUAGGUCUUUUUUUCUAUCAUAACGAACUAUAUAAAUUAAUAAAUUUAUAAAUGUUAAACUAUACUUUAUAGUUUAAUUUUUAUAAUAAACGAUUUUACUCUUAAUAACCUAGAAAUGUGAAACAAAUACAUAAUUAACUAAAAUUAUGAUAUUUCAUUUAAAUUAACUAAAAUAUUUUAAGCAAAUUGCACAUAACGUAGAAGUUUAAUGUUAUAUAUUCUGCCUUUUAUUGAAUAACUUAACUAAAAAUUAAAGAUAUAAUUAAUUGAUAUAAUUACACUUAUAAAAGACUUAUUAGAAAUAAUCUUUACGAUAUAAGGAAAUAUGAGGUACUUAUCAUGAGUAAGUGAUAUUUUUUAUAUCAAAAUAAAUUUGUGAAGGUCGUGUGACUUCUUUGUUAAUUUGAAUGGAAAAAAUAAAGAGAACAUGUUAGAAAAAAUCAUUUAUCUUGGAAUUAAAUUAUAUAAUUAGAGAUAUAAAGAGAAAUUAAAAACACAUUCUCUUAUACAAGGAUUCAUUAAUUAAACCAUUUCUCCUUAAAAAACCUCCACCUCAAAGUCUCCAUUGUCAUUCCUAUUUGGUUUUCUAGAUUUUACAAUGAAGAGAGGGAUGGGGAAAGGAAGAAGAUCAUGUGUGUGUUUCCUUCCCAAAUUAAUUACAGAUUUUUAGAAUCUAUGUCGUUUUAUGUAAACAAAUGUCUUUAUUAUAUUAUAACAAGGAAAUGCCUGUAAAUCUUGUCCGUUAUCUAGGUAGAUUUGAAGGAAGAGAAAUAUUUUAGUUUUUAGGGAGGAGUAUUUAGGGGAUAAGCGGUUGUUACGUCAAAUUUACUUUUUAAAAGAUGUGUUUUGCGAUACUUGGAAUAAUUCAACUAUGAUGCGUAGAUAUCCAACUACUAUCUUAUGACUUAAGCCUGAAGAAGGAUUUAUUAAACUAGACGUGGAUGAAAGCUCUCUUAGGAACCCGGGGAGGAUUGGAUUUGGGGUCUCUUAAGAAAUUCUGAAGGGAGAUGGUUGAUGAGUUUUACGAGUUAUUGAGAUUUUGAUUCUAAUCUACUUCCAAAACUACUAGGAAUUAAAUAUUAUUUAUUGGUGAUAUGAGAUAGAGGUUUUAGAAAGGUCAUAUGGAACUCUGAUUUUACAGAUGUUAUUCAACUGAUUUAUAAUAAUUUUAACAAGUAUUAUUUAUUUAGAGCUGUUAUUUUUUAUAUUAAAGAAUUCAUGAUACGAAAUUGGAAAGUUCGUUUGUUUCAUACUUUGGGCGAGGCUCAUUCAUGUGCUUAUUAUAGGGCUAAACUUGCAGCUACAAUUAAAUUCAGAUUAACUAGAUAUAAUUUAUACAUAUACAUAAAAAUAACAACUUAACUAUCUUUUUUUUUUUCUUGCGCCUAAUUUAACUAGCAUUACAAGCUAUGAGAAGGCCAACUUUACCAAACAUUUGAAUCUUAAAGAAACUUGAGCCAUGUCUUGAUAAGUACGCAGCUCAUUUUAUUAUCAAUUUUGGCUUGGAAGCUGCUUGACCAAUAUUUUUGAGCUUGUUUACGUGCUGACUCAGAAUUUCUGACCUAAUUGCGUGCCGAAUAAUAUCAGUCCCUCACAUCCUGAGCAAAUAAUUAGUUCACAACUAUAUUCGAGAACUUGAUUAAUGAGGAUCAAUGGAUGAUCUGGGUGGCUAAAAUGUUCAACCUCCAUGUCUCUGGCCCUCUCAGAAUGCAGAGCAGGAAAUGAGGGGUGUUCAGCCAAGGCAAGACUUAGUGAUUAAACUUAAAAAGAAAAAAAAUGACAAAACAAUGAUUAAACACGUGGAUUCAGGAGGCCUAGCACGCCUAUCAUCACAUUCUAACAUGUUUGUGUUUCAUUUCUUCUUAUUAUUAUUAUUUGAAUGGGAGGACUUCUUAAAGUAACCAUAUGAUACGUCUUUUGUAGUGGCAGAAAAUACGACACCUAUUUAUUUCACCGCCGAGAAACUCUAGAGGCUAGAAGUUGCUGGAAAAUCGCUCCCCUCUCUUCGAAAACACCAUUUCAAGCAUUUCUUUCAUUUAUAAGCCACUUAGAAAGUACAACGUAAACAUAACCUCUAAACAAUGUUAAAUCCAUUAAAAAACUCAAAAUUUGUUCUAGUUAAAAAAAAUCCCCAAAGGAUCUACUUUUCCUGGUAAGAUGAGCAGCAAAACAUACAUCAAUGGAAUUUUUAUCUUGAAAUGGAACCCAUUAACAUCAAGAACAACUUUUUUCAAUUGCUAGAACUUGGUUAAUAAUAACUUUUUCUCUCAUUCGUUGUAAUCUAAUAACUUUCACUCUCUUUUCUUAAACUUAAGGAUUAAAAUGUAAAUAAAAUAAAGUCUUGGAUCAAAUAGUAUAAUUUUCAAGCUAAAGGGAUCAAAACUAAUAUUGGAUCAAAUUUAAAGUCUAAAAGUCUUUGACAACCAUUCUUUCUUAAAAUUGAUAUCAUUUCACCAAGCUUUUAAUUUUGAUAGCCUAGAUUUUUGUUUUUCUCUAACAACAAAAUUGAUUUUUUUUUUUUUGUAAAAUAAAGAACCAACCCAACAUGGUGGUAGUUUUUUGAGGUUGUAAUAAACUGGAAGAAAGCAAUAGGAACUAAAUAACUAAGUUAAAUCACCAAUCAAUGCAAUGUAGAAGGAUAAAUUUUAAAAAAAACAAAUCUCGAUUGCCGAACUAAAAAAAGAAAAAAGAAAUCAAGGACUAAGAAGUGAAGAUAUCAUCUUCAGGACUAUCAUUUCACCUAACUUUCAACUUUGAUCCUCUUAUUUUCAAAUACUAUUUUUGUCAAUAAAUACUACCUUGAUAUUGAAAUGUUGUCUUAUUUUUUUAUUUUGUUUUCUACCUUAUUUCUUUUUAGAAAAUAAUUAGGCUCAUGUUAUAAAUGGAUUAGAUUCCUUUUCUAUAUAGAUUAAAUUGAUUAAGGUUCGAUCAUUAUUUGUUGAUGUUGCCUCAUUGAAAUCCAUCUUGACUAAAAUAUUCCAAACAUGUCCAUUAAAUAUAUUUUUGAGCUUCUUUUCUUUUGAUCUUGUAAUUGACCCAACUAGAACUUUUAAUAGAUAAUUUAGUGUAGUUUAAAUUGUAUUAUAUUUAACCUCGCAACAUGAACCAUAUAUCAAAUAUGUUUAAUAGCUUUGUUUAUUAAAAUUAAUAUUUUAUUUAAUAAAAUAAUAAUAAAAAAGAUGUAUAGAAAAGCAAUCAAAUAAAAUUAAAGAAAAAAUAUAUAACUAGGACUACAUACAUAUAAAGGAUGCCUUCUAAUAUAAAAAAAUAUUAAAAUUUUAUUUGUAAAUUAAGUAAAAGUUAAAAUAUUCUAUUAAAUAAACAUCAUAAAAUAUUUAAAAAAACAACCAAUAAAAAUCCAAAAUUUUAAAAAAAUACUCAGACCCUAACAUGGGUGUCCCAACACAUCUAAACUUACAAAAAUUCCAUUUGCGUGGGCUUUUAUCCCAGAUCCGCGCUCGUUGGCUAACUUAUUAUUAUUAUUUUUUUGUUUUUCUGGAAUGAGUGUAUGUAUCAACUUUCCGAGAUAUCUCCUGUCUGAUUGUUAGGGUUUAGGAAGUAAGUUUUUCCAGGCAUCAUUGUUUGGUUUAGUCAUGUGAAACGUUGGUGCUAUUAGUUAAAUGCGUCAGCAUGUAUUUGGACUACAGAAAUGAAAGUUCAGGUGAAUAAGUUCAAGCUAUCUCGUUUCACAUCAAAGCUUAAAGCAUCAUAAUCUAAUAUCUACUUGCUGGAGAUUGAAUGGCAAUGUUCUUUUCAAAAGCAACAUUGCGAAGGAACAAAGAAGGGGAAUUAUCAGUAUAUAUACCAGUAAUGUCAGAUAGGACUUCUGGUGAAAGUGGGGGAAUUUAGAUUUGAAUAAUGAUUUAUACAUUCAAGUUCUUGAAUUGCAACGGAUUCAUUCAAGAUCUGCUGGAAGGAUUUGAGAGGAAACGGCGAAGCGGAGCUGCCAUGCUCGACCGUUAGAUUUGUACAUGUCAACAUCUUGCUGCAAACCUUCCAUAGCAUCCUCUUGGUCCUAACAAUUGUUUUGUUCCUGAAAUAACUUGUGAUUCAGGUAUACCUGCUACAGAAACAUUUUCUACAGUAAUUCAAGGCCAUAGCCGGAGCUGGCCUUCUGCUUGUUCUGAUCAAAUUUACAGAUUCAAAGUUCAUUGUGUGGUUUAUCAAAAUAUGGUUGUAAGAAGCAGCGCUUAAGUUGAACAUAAGGUUAUGGAGAUGGAGUUUGUGAAAUGUUAUGGCUGAUGAGAGUUUUUGAAGAACUAUGAAGUUGUAUUAUGACAAUAAAGCUGCCACAAGAACUCUUAAUACCGAGAAGGCUGGGAAUGUUGCAAGCACGUACAAAAGGUUAGAGAUUUUUAAUUUGAUACUUGCAAAAUUGAAGUAACAACAAUUUAAAUUCGAGACCAGAUUGAUAUAUGAUAUUUUUUAAAAAAUAAGCAAUCUUGUAAAGGGCAUAAUUUUUUUUUUUUUAUCUUAAUUCAACUCAAAUUUUAUUAGAAGAUUUUAAAUGCUUUAUUUUCUAUAAAAUUAGAAUUUUAUAAUCAUUUAAAAUCAACAAGACUUUCAAAUAAAACAAAAAAAACCUAUCUAGACUUGUAAUAUUUUAUUAGUUGAUUUAAUUUUUUUUUUUCUAUUUAGUUUUUUUUUUUUUUUUAAGGAUUUGGGCCUCUAAAUCCCUUCGUGGUUUUGAAAUUAGAUAAACAAUGAUGGAGGCUUAUUCUUAUUCUUCUUAAGAAAAAAAAUACCAAAAACAUGAAUUAACUUACUUCUGCAUGAUAUAUCUUAUUAAAGGACAAAGCUAUCAAAUGACCUUGAGGUCUUUGUUUUAAAUAUUAUUUAAAUAGAUUUAUUUAUUAUUAGAUUGUGUUAAGGAAAUAAAAAUUAAAUAUUCGAAUGAAAAUAAUUGAUAUAAGUUAGAUAAGUGUUAUUUUAUAUGCCAAUAUUUCUAUGCAUUUACAAUAAAAUCUAUAACAAAAAUGUAAAAACAGAAUUUAUGGAGAGCUUCCUGCUAAGCUAAAAAAAAUGGUGGAAGGUCAGACAUCUUUGUCACGACGAAGGCACAAAGAAACAACAAACUACCUUCAAUCUUUUAUUGUUAAAAAAAAAAACAGAGAAAAAAAAAGUGAUCUCAUACGCAUAAAUAGAAACAGAGAUAGUAAUCCUUUGUCUAGCAACUGCCAACAAUCAUAACCCAAAAAUAAGAAAAAAGCCAACAACUGCAAUCCAAUUAUGGCUUCCAUACUGUACGAAAGCAUUGCCGUCUAAACCGGUGUACGAUAAAAUCACAGUUAGGAUCAGUACAUUCAAGGGCCAAGUCAUCGCAAGGCUCCCCACAGAUAUCGCAUGCCUGCGGACGAUAAUCCCCUGUCUUGUCGACCAAAGCAAGAGGGUGAGGGUGUGCAGGAUAUGUGCGAACGCCCCCUGGCUUGACGUAUGGGUAUUUCCCGAGAGCACAUUCUGGAUGAGCAUCGAAGUCGCAUUCCUCACAACGGUAGAACCAGAGCUUCGGGUCUCUAUCUUUUUCACAAAUUAUGCAGGAAGGCUGGUAGUCAUUUUCAUUAUUGUAGGUGAGGAAGAGAGGAUGGUCAUCAUACUCGUGUCUUGCUUUGUAUGGCAGUGUAGCACAUUUCAUACCCAGCUUGAACUCGCAAACCGCACAUUUUAAAAAUACCUUCGAUUCUUCACUGACACAACAGCCACUGCAAUGGGGAAUAAUCUCUCUGUCAUCUACAAGCAAAGGGGGAAGCCCGUAACCUCCAAUACGGCAACGGAGAAUACUCUUUCUGUCCACUGGAAGAUAAAGGGGAUGCUCAUGACCUCCAUGUUUAAAAGAAUCUUUCAAUGAUUUGAAGCAUCGGACAUCAAUCCAGAGUCUACAUACUUUACAUUUGUAACUGAGCCCACGAAAAUAUUGACUACACACAUCACAGGAGACCAGAUCAUGUGGCCCUCGGCUCCAUGAAAGAAUCAGUUCGUUUUGGUGAUAUUGCCACUUUUUUUGCCUGAGUAAUUCUAUGCUGCAGGUUUUGUCAAGAAAGAAGUUACAACUGGCACAACUGUAAAAUGGAGUUGAGAUUGGUAACAUACACCCAUCACACUUUAAAUCAUCAUCAACCUUGUCAUUAAGGAUUAGGUUAUGUUGAUGACUGAAAUGCUCGAUCUCUUCAAUUAUUCUCUCCUCUCCAUGCUUGAUCUCACGGACAACGCUAAAGCUAGGUUCCAUGAAUUGAUCAUCAACAGCCACACUUUGCUCUUCUUCGUUUUCUCCAGCAGUCUCUGUUGCAGAAUCGCCAUAUUCUCUGCUACAAUUCACGUGUGCAACGAAGUCACAGUCUGGGCAAUAGUAAACUCCGUAUUUUGAGUCAACUUCCCGACGGCAAAUUCCACAGUACUUGUUUAUAGAUUCGAUGCAUUGUUGAUGUUGAUAUGUGUGGAUGAUUCGGGGAUGAUGGUGCAGUGCCGUUUUAAGGGUGCGUGGCAAUGAAAUGCAUUCUUCGUGGAGCACGAGUUGGCACAUGGUGCACAUGAAAGGGGAGUCAUCUCCCUCAGUGCCGCAUGCAUUGCAAGUGAAGGAGAUUGAUUUGAAUGAAAGUGGAUUCAGCAGGCUUCUAAAUUGAUGCCCCUGAUCCUGAUCAGCUGCAUAAACGCACGGUGGAAAAGCACAUUUGAUAUGGAGGUUGAAUUCGCACACAAAACAGCAAUAAACAAAACUCUCAUAGCAGGUUUCUUUGCAAAAACCACAGAUCAUGUGAUGAUUUGGCAGUAGACGAAGAGGGUGUUCUGGAUGAAUGUGCCUCUUGAUCUCGGGGGCAGCUCAGCACAUUUCUUGUGAAGAAAGAAGUUGCAAGAAAUGCAACUAUAGCUAGGACCAGACAUUGGUUCCUUGCACACAGAGCACACAACUCCUUCACCAUGAUAUUCUUGCUCUUCAUUCAAAAUCAAUGGAUGAUCCUUGUGGGAAAAUUGAUGUGCCUGACUAUCAACUUCCAAAAAACCCGGUUGAAAAGCACAUUUGAUAUCAAGAUCAAAUUCACAGAAAGAGCAAUGGUAAACAAAAUAGUUAAAAAAUUUGUCGCACCGACUACAACGGUAAUUUCCUUUAUAUGGUGACUUUGCCAGUAGAUGGAGAGGGUGUCUAGGAUGAAUGCGCCGCUUGAUCUCACGGGGCAGCUCGGCGCAUUUCUUAUGAAGAAAGAAGUAGCAAGAGGUGCAACUGUAGCAAGGACCCCAUAUUGGUCCCUCGCAUCCAGAGCAAAUAACUACUUCACAACUAUACUCGAGAACUUGAUUAAUGAGGAUCAAUGGAUGAUCUGGGUGGCUAAAAUGUUCAACCUCCAUGUAUCUCGCUCUCUCAGAGGACAGAGCAGGAAAUGAGGGGUGUUGAGCAAAGGCAAGACCAAGGUAGGCCAAAUCGAAGCUGCCGAAUAUAUAUGUUAACGAAAUGGAAAGGCAAAUAAAAGUUGAGUGCUACUAGUAUUCAAUACCUCACCUUCUGAACGAAAACUUGACCUCUUCACCGACGACGGCUAAUUAAAUAAUUACAGCUGCUUACUGCUAAAUUACAGAUCAACCAACGAGAUCCAGAACAAAGUGAUUUCCCAUUAAGAUCGGAUAGCAGAAUUCAAAGAAGCCCGAAAAGGAAGGAAGGGUGUUAUCUGUAAGGAUGGGAUGGGAUGGGAGGAAGAUCAUGAGGAUAGCUACAGGCUCUUCCAUUUGUGCAGAUGAUAUUAUACAAGCAUGUGAAUAAGAAGACACUUUCCCUUUUCUUUUCUGGUUGGAGUGGAAGACUCGUUGACUUGAGGUGGGUCUCGUCAACUUCUUGUUACUGGAUCAUGUCCAUUGCUUAGUAUUCUAUUGGAUUGGUCCAUUGCUUAGUUAAUGGAUCGUGUCCAUAUAAUAAGUUAUUAAUGAAAUAAAAAAUAGUAUUAGAAACUAUUACUACUUGGAUUUGAAGGUGGAUUGUUAUCAAGCAAACCAAUCAUCGACCUGAAAACAUUGAAGGCGCAUGAGACCUGACGUAUGUGAGAGAUGACAGCAAAUAAAUCGCAAAUACAAUGUUGCGGUUAAAUUAAUUUUUUUAAAAUAAAAAAAAUAUUCAGAUAUUAUUAAUAAACUACUAAAUAAUAGUAGCAUUCCUUUAAAUAUUAGUAAAAAUCUAGGUAAAAUAAAUCCUUCUUUUUAAAAAAUAACUAAAUCUUAACUAUCACCAUAAUAUAUUAUGUAAAUAAACUACUAAAAGAAAAAUCAUGAUUAUAUGAAAGCCAUUGUGAUUUUAGCUCCUGCAUUAUUUUUCUCGAAAUAAAAACAACUCAGAUUUUUAGUUGAAAUCGUUCUUGUCUCGAUCAUAAGGACAUGUCACAGAAGAUCAUUUAUCUUGGAAUUAAAUUAUAUAAUUAGAGGUAUAAAAAAAAUUGAAAACACAUUCUCUUAUAUAUCACAUUUCAUCAUGUUCAUUAACUACAAACAAUUAAAUUCAGAUUAAAUAGAUAUAAUUUAUACAUGUAUAUAAAAAUAACAACUUAACUAUGAAUUAUUUUUUUCUCUCGUCUAAUUUAAACUAUAAAUUCAAAAACUAAUGUUAACCAUUUCUCCUUAAAAAGCCCUCGACCUUAAAGUCUCCAUUGCCAUUCCUAUUUGGUUUUCUAGAUUUUAUAAUGAAGAGAGAGAUUGGGAAAGGAAGGAGAUCACGUGUGUAUUCCCUUUCAGAAUUAAUUACAGGUUUUUCAUAUCACAUUUUUCAUGCUUAUCACCCAUAAAUUAUUAAAUUAAAGUAAAAAUGACAUCAAUUAUAUAUAAUAAAAGUAAAAAUUUAACUAUUUAUUGUUUAAAACAUGUCAAGUCAAAUUUAUAGUAUUAUAAAUCAUAAGGUAAUCAUUGAAUGCAUAUCGAAAAAAAAAAGCAGGAUAAACUAAAAAUAAUAAUUGUUUGUUAAAAAAUAAUGGUUGUCAAAAUUAAAAAAAAGACAACUAUAACCUUAUUCAAACUAAAACUAAAAUUUUAGUGUUAUUUAAAAAAAACACCUUUAACAUAUUUUGUAUUAAUUUAAGAAAUUAAUGAAGAAAUAUAUAUAAUAUAUAUUUAGUUAUCUAAUUCUACAUUAAAUAGACUUAAAAGAAAAAAAAUGGCAAAAAAUGGUUAAGCACAUGAUCCAGGAGGCCCAGCACGUCAGUCAACACAUACUAACAUAUUUCGACUUCAUUUUUUAUUUUUUUAUUAUUUUUAUUUAAAUGGGAGGACUUUUUAAAGUAACCAUCCGAUAUGUUUUUUGUUGUGACAAAUUAAAAACACAUCACCUAUUUGUUUCACCGUCGAGAAACUCUAGAGGCUGGAAGUACCGGAAAAUUGCUCCCCUCUCUUUGAACACAAAACACCAUUUCAAUCAUUUCUUUCAUUUAAAAACACUUAGAAACACCCCGUAAACACAACCUCUAAAUAAUAUUUAAUCGAUUAAAAAACUUAAAAUUUGUUCUGGUUAAAAACAAAUCCCAAAAAAUUCUACUUUUUAUAGUAAAAUGAAGGGCAAAACAUAUAUCAAUAGAAUUCUUAUCUUGAAAUAAUACUAUUUAAGAAUAAUUUUUUUGGUUGUUUUUUAAAAUAUUUUUCACUUAAAUUAAUUAUGUGUAAAAGUUGAAUUGAAAAAAAAAAUAACUGAAAAAUUUAAUGAGAAAAGGAAAGAAACAAUUUGCGAAUCCAAAACAACAAAAAAGAAGGGUUACUGAUAAGUUAAUAUCUUUACAGCAGAAAAUCAAGUUAAAUAGUAUUACAUAAUAAUGUAUUUAAUUUAUUUUUCUGUGUAUGUAUCACACAUUAUGUCACGACUCGAAUCCCGGAUCCGUGACCAGCAACGUAGGAGCGGUGUCGAAAGGACACCUCACCUACGCUAAGCCUCAGAACGGACAUAUCAAAAGAACAAUUUGUUCAAAAAUACGCAGCGGCUCAUAAUAUUCAGAAAUAUUAUAUUAUUUAAAUACUGAUGAAAUCGAAAGAUAGUUAUUAAAACAAAAAUAAUAAUUCAUAAUACAUUUACAUUGUCAAAAUCCAAACGUAAUUAAAACAAGGUAACAGUGGAGCGUCUAAGACAUCAAAUCAAAACUGAAAGGAAAGCCUCGCGAACAAGCAAGGCAUACCGACCAGAACUGAAGAAGCGGAAACACUCAACAAAGUCCCAGAAACUAAAAACCUGAAAUAAUAUUAAAAAUGAGAGGUGAGUUCAACCAACUCAGUGAGGGAAUAACAUUUAAUAUACAUUUCAGAUAUUAAUUAAUUUGUAAGAUGAUUUAUCUUAAUAUACAUAUACAUAUACUUACUAAACAUAUUAUCAUAACGUAACAUAUUAUCAUAACGUAGUGGAUUACAUGUCAGAGAUCAGAUGACACCCGAAGGUGACCAGAUGACACCCGAGGUGACCAGAUGACACCCGUCGGUGACCACUGUGGGAUGAUCAAUCACCACAGGCUGAUGCCUCUCUCACCAGCUAGUAGGUAACAGAAUACUAUGUGCACACAGGCUAACUAUUCUCCGUUAGCAUGGAGUUACUGACAAGUCCCAUAUCAAGGCAUAAUAGAUAUUCACAAUCAUCAAAGAAACGUAUAUCAUAUCAAAUAGAAUUUACUUUAUCAGAUUGCGAGUGCAAAUUCAAGAAUAAAUGAGUACUCGGAAAAUAAAGCAACAUAUAUAAAUAUUCAAGAAAUUUACUAGUUGUACUCAUUGUAUAAUCAACAUACAUAUUUAUUUAUAUUAUAUGCAUAUUAAAGAUUAUUCCACUCACCGGAAAAUACUGAACUAAAGGAAUGUCGGACGAAAGACCCGAAAAUCCGAUUAAGGAUCGUUAGGAGAACCUACAAUAAAUAUAUGAAAUAUACUCAAAAACAGAUCAAACAAAAGAUCCCAAUGCAUAAAAUAAAACUGGGCUUAAUCUCCCAAGUUUAGGGACUAAAACGAUAAUUUUCCAAAACAGGGACCAAAACGUAAUUUUACCAAAUUUUGAGGACCGAACUGUAAAUAUAUAACCAUACUGAAAUUUAUCCAUAAUUCGUCCUUAUCUUUGUCUAGAAUCUUGAAUUAUGCCCCAAGGUCCAAAAUGUGAUUUUAUCAAACUAUUAGGGGUCAAAUCGUAAUUUGUCAAAUUGGAGGACCAAACUGAAAAUAUUAAUUAUACUAGAAUUUUGCCUUUAAAUCAUCCUCAGUUCUGUUCAGAAUCUCAAUUUAUGUCCCAGGGACCAAUCUGUAAAAUUUCCAAAGUUUGGGGACUAAACUGCAAUUUCCGCAAAUUGAGGGACCAAACUGAAUUUUCGUCAUCUUCAACCUCAAACCCAGAAUUUCAACAGAUUACCUACUGUUAGUUCCAGAUUUAUACCUCAACUUCAUCAUUCAAUUCAACCAUAACUCAAAAUCAUCAUAUUUCUCUACAAUCUCUCCAAUUCAACUAAAUAAUCAAAUACCCACAUCAAUCAACCCCUUAAUUCAAACUAAUUCAUCAAUAAACUCAAAAUUCAAAACUCUAAAAUUAAUCAAAAACCAAAAUUUAAAGCUAAAGAAAACAUAUUAUACAUAUUCAAGCAUAAUCUUACCUUUUACUUUUUUCUUCAAUCUUUUCCUUUUCCUUAUUUUCCCCUUUUCUCUUCUUCUUCUUCUUCCUCUCUUCUCUCCUGCCGGUUCUCUCUCAAAUUCAGAUCCUUUUUUUUUUUUUUUUCUUCUUAUACAUAUUUAUCAACUAUUGGUCAAUUACCACACUACCCUUCAAUCAUUUAUACCCUUUUUUAAGCCUCCAAGGACUUUAUUGUAUUUUCCAAUCUUUUUAAGUUUCAAAACGUUACACAUUACUGCUUUGUUUUUGUAGGUUUUGUGUUCGUGCCUCGAGGAGUAGGCAAAACUUGUGAUUGAAAUGACCACUGUUCAACAAAUGAGGUUAAAUAGUUGCACUUCUUAUUCAAACUUACUUGCUGAUCUGUUUUUACAAAUUUGAAAAAAUAAUUGAAAAAAAUUAAAUUUUUAUUUCAUAUUUUUUCUUUAAUUUUUUUUUUAAAUUUUUAUGUAAUAUUAUUAAAAAUAAAUUUAAAAACAAAACAAAAAUACUAUUUCAGUAUAUUUUUAAAUAAAAAAUACUUUAAAAAUUAAUUAUAAAAAAAACUUUAAAAAUUAAUUAUAAAAAAAAACUCUUAUUCUAUAUGGGAUUUGGCUGUGUUUCAAUCAGUUGAAAUUCGAAACAGUAGCUUCAUGAUGUUUAUCUCGAGCAGAAAAAUAAGUCUUUCCUUUGGUAAAUCUAUUUCUUGGUUAUCUCUGCAAAACUAAGUAAUUUUUUUUUCUGUUUUGUAUUAUGAUAUGAGUUGUGAAUUUAAAAGGUCAAUUUCAAUUAUUUUUUUAAUUUUAUUAUUUAAUAUUAAGUUAAUUAAGAAUUAUAUUUCAUAAUUUUAUUUUAAUUUGUUUUCUAAGGUAAUCAUUAUCUCAUACUCAGGUCAUGAAUUUGACAUGUUAACUUUUAUUGACCUGAAUCAAUCUAAUAAGUUGUUUUUUUAAUAUUAAAAAAUAAUAUUAUUUUAAUGUUUUUAGUUAAAUUAUAUUUUUACUAAAAACAUGUUAAAUAAACCAUGUCUCAUCAAAUUAACUCUUACAUUGUUGUUUUUUUUUUUUCAUUAGAAAAAAAACAUUGAUAAUAUUUGAAUAUUUUUUUAUAUUAAAAGAAAUUUAGAUACAAUUAGCGCUACCAAUAAUUUAGUUUUCACUAAUAAAAGUUUUUUUUGUAUCGUAGUAGUAGGGGUUGCUUUUCAAAGUAUUUUUUGUUUAAAUAAUUCAUUGAAAUAAUAUUUUUUAUUUUUUUAAAUUUAUUUUUGACAUCAACAUAUUAAAAUGAUCUCAAAAUACAUAAAAAAUAAUUAAUAUAAAAAAAAAUAUUUUUUAAAAAAGUAUUUUUAAAACAUAAAAACAAGCAUUCUUUAAAUAACCUAUUUUCUUGAAAUCUGAUAAGAAAACAAAAUUUCAAAGAAAUUCAACAACCCGGUGUGAGCCACUGACUAUCAAUUUCGUCCUUUCAAUUGUUAACCCUCAUAUUUAUAAUUUUUUUCCAUUAACUAUCAAUUGUUCAUUUUUUUGUUAUUGAUCAUAUGAACUGAUUUUGGGCUAUUUUGUUGAAGUUUGGAUUUUUGAUUAAAAUGAGAUGAAUGACCUGUUUAGGCAGUUUUAUGAUUUCGGGGACUAAAUUGAUCAUAUGGUGAUUUAGAGGAGUUUUAGUAUUGAUUUUUGGAUUAUUUCAAGAUAUGUGUUAGAUAUGUAAUUAAUGAAGUAGGGGUUAUCUUUUUGUUAUAUACAAAUCAAGAAUUAUGAACAGAGAGAAGGGUUACUGAUAAUUAAGUUACUAAAGAAUUUUGCAUGAGCAAACCAAGUUAAACAGUAUUACCUGAAACAUUGUGAUAUAUUAAUGUCUUUGUCCUUGGCGCUGCUUGACUUGCUAAUUUUAGAGUGUUGAACCCGGUAUUUUAAUUUUAUCAGGUGAUUUAAAUUAUUAUAAAUCUUAAUUUUAUUUUAUUUUUAUUUUUUUAUAUAAUUUCAACUUGAUUUGUGUUAAUGGAACGUGAUUGUAAUGCUUGAUGUUUGUAUGAAAAUAAUGGUUCGUGCCUUAUAACUAUAUGUUGAUUUGAGAAAAAAAAAUGAAAAUAUGGUCAUAAGGCUGAUAACAUUCGCUUGUCAGGAUUCAAUGGUCAAGUUAUCAUUAUAAUCAGUUUCCAUAUAUCAAAAUGAAGUUUAUUUCUAAUUAGAUUUUGAACAGGUUAUUUCCUUUUUUGUGUGUAAGUUUUCUUUGAAUUUGACUAAAUUGUAAAUUAGAAAACAAAUCAAAUCGCCAUGAUCCAUAGCAGUGCAAUGCUAGCUUAUUGCCAUGUCAGUGUUGCUUGAACAGAAUAAAAGAAUAGAAAUCUUUUUAUCAUGUUUUGAAAACUCAUAGCAAAGUUGAAUAUCUACUAGGAAAUUGUAAUGACAUUUUUAGCUUUACUGUUUUGGUGAAACUUUCUAAACACGGGGAAAAUUUUGUGAGACUGGGUUAGCUGAAUGAAGAAAUGCAACAGAUGUGAAAUGUUAUGGCUAAAGAGAAUUCUUGAAGAACUAUAAAAUUGUAUUAUGACAAUAAAGCUGCCAUAAGAACUCUUAAUACCGAGAAGGCUGGGAAUGUUACCACGUACAAAAGGUUAGAGAUUUUUAAUUUGAUACUUGCGAAAUUGAAGUAACAACAAUUUGAAUUCGAAACGAGAUUGAUAUAUGAUAAUUUUUUAAAAAAUAAGCAAUCUUGUAAAGGGCAUAAUUUUUUUUUUUUUUUAUCCUAAUCCAACUCAAAAUUUUAUUAGAAGAUUUUAAAUGCUUUAUUUUCUAUAAAAUUAGAAUUUUAUAAUCAUUUAAAAUCAACAAGACUUUCAAAUAAAACAAAAAAAAAACUAUCUAGACUUGUAAUAUUUUAUUAGUUGAUUUAAAUUUUUUUUUUCUAUUUAGUUUUUUUUUUUUAAGGAUUUGGGCCUCUAAAUCCCUUCGUGGUUUUGAAAUUAGAUAAACAAUGAUGGAGGCUUAUUCUUAUUCUUCUUAAGAAAAAAAAUACCAAAAACAUGAAUUAACUUACUUCUGCAUGAUAUAUCUUAUUAAAGGACAAAGCUAUCAAAUGCCCUUGAGGUCUUUGUUUUAAAUAUUAUUUAAAUAGAUUUAUUUAUUAUUAGAUUGUGUUAAGGAGAUAAAAUUAAAUAUUUGAAUGAAAAUAAUUGAUAUCAGUUAGAUAAGUGUUAUUUUAUAUGCCAAUAUUUUCUAUGCAUUUACAAUAAAAUCUAUAACAAAAAUGUAAAAGCAGAAUUUAUGGAGAACUUCCUGCUACGCUAAAAAAAUGGUGGAAGGUCAGACAUCUUUGUCACUACGAAGGCUCAAAGAAACAACAAACUACCUUCACAGUUUUAAUAAAAUAGCAUCUUUUAUUGUUAAGAAAAAACAGAGAAAAAAAAAGUGAUCUCACACGCGUAAAUAGAAACAGAGAUAAUAAUCCUCUGUCUAGCAACUGCCAACAAUCAUAACCCAAAAAUAAGAAAAAAAGCCAACAACGGCAAUCCAAUUACCUUUUUAAUGAGUUAAAGCAUCGCCUUCUUUUCCCGUGGAUGAUAAAACUGCAGUUAGGAUCAGUACAUUCAAGGGCCAAUUCAUCGCAAGGCUCACCACAAAUAUCGCAUGCCUGUGGACGAUAAUCUCCUGUCUUGUCUACCAAAGCAAGAGGGUGAUGGUGUUUAGGAGAUGUGAGAACGCCCCCAAGCUUGACAUAUGGGUAUUUCCCGAGAGCACAUUCUGGAUGAGCAUCGAAGUCGCAUUCCUCACAACGGUAGAACCAGAGCUUGGGGUCUCUAUCUUUUUCACAGAUUAUGCAGGAAGGCUGGUAGUCAUUUUCAUUAAUGUAGGUGAGGAAGAGAGGAUGGUCAUCAUACUCGUGUCUUGCUUUGUAUGGCAGUGUAGCACAUUUCAUACCCAGCUUGAAAUCGCAAACCGCACAUUUCAAAAAUACCUUUGAUUUUUCCCUGACACAACAGCCACUGCAAUGGGGAAUAUUCUCUUCGUCAUCUGCAGCCCAAGGGGGAAUCCCGCGACCCCCAAUACGGCAGCGGAGAAUACUCUUUCUGCCCGCUGGAAGAUAAAGGGGAUGCUCAUGACCUCCAUGUUUAAAAGAAUCUUUCAAUAUUGAUUUGAAGCAUCGGACAUCAACGCAGAGUCCACAUAUAUUACAUACGUACUUGAGCCCACUAAAAUCUUGAUCACACACAACACAGUAGAACAGAUGAUGUUCCCCUCGGCUCCAUAAAAGAAUCAGUUGGUUUUCGUGAUAUUGCCAUUUUUUUUGCCUGGGUAAUUCUAUGCAGGUUUUGUCAAGAAAGAAAUUACAACUGGCACAACUAUAAAAUGGAGUUGAGAUUGGUAACAUGCACCCAUCACACUUUAGAUCAUCAUCAACCUUGUCAGUAAGGAUUAGGUUAUGUUGAUGACUGAAAUAUUUGAUCUCUUCAAUUAUUCUUUCCUCUCCUUGCUUGAUCUCACGGACAACGCGAAAGCUAGGUUCCAUGGAUUGAUCAUCAACAGCCACACUUUGCUCUUCUUCGUUUUCUACUACAAUCUCUGUUGCAGAAUCCCCAUAUUCUCUACUACACUUCACGUGUGCAACAAAGUCACAGUCCGGGCAAUAGUAAACUCCGUAUUCUGUGUCAACAUCCCGACAGCAAAUUCCGCAGUACUUCUUUAUAGAUUUGAUACAUUGUUGAGGAUGAUAGGUGUGGAUGAUUCGGGGAUGAUGGUGCAGUGCCGUUUUAAGGGUGCGUGGCAGUGAAAUACAUUCUUCGUGGACCAAGAGUUGGCACAAGGUGCACACUAAUGGAGAGUCAUCACCAUCAGUGCCGCAUGCAUUGCAAGUGAAGGAGAUUGAUUUUAAUGAACGUGGAUUCAGCAGGCUUCUAAAUUGAUGCCCCUGAUCCUGAUCAGCUGCAUAAACGCACGGUGGAAAAGCACAUUUGAUAUGGAGGUUGAAUUCGCACACAAUACAGCAAUAAACAAAACUCUCAUAGCAACUUUCUUUGCAAAAACCACAGAUGAUGUGAUGAUUUGGCAGUAGACGAAGAGGGUGCUCUGGAUGAAUGUGCCUCUUGAUCUCUGGGGGUAGCUCAGCACACUUCUUGUGAAGAAAGAAGUUGCAAGAAGUGCAACCAUAGCUAGGACCCGAAAUUGGUUCUUUGCAAACAGAGCACACAACUGCUUCACCAUGAUAUUCUUGCUCUUCAUUCAAAAUCAAUGGAUGAUCCUUGUGAGCAAAUUGAUGUGCCUGACUAUCAACUUCCAAAAAACCCGGUUGAAAAGCACAUUUGAUAUCUAGAUCAAACUUACAGAAAGAACAGUGGUAAACAAAACAGUUGAAAGUUUUGUCGCACCGAUUACAACAGUAUUUUCCUUCAUAUGGUGACUUUGCCAGUAGAUGGAGAGGGUGUCUAGGAUGAAUGCGCCGCUUGAUCUCACGGGGCAGCUCGGCGCAUGUCUUAUGAAGAAAGAAGUAGCAAGAGGUGCAACUGUAGCAAGGACCCCAUAUUGGUCCCUCGCAUCCAGAGCAAAUAACUACUUCACAAAUAUAUUCGAGAACUUGAUUAAUGAGGAUCAAUGGAUGAUCUGGGUGGCUAAAAUGUUCAACCUCCAUGUCUCUGUCUCUCUCAGAAGACAGAGCAGGAAAUGAGGGUUGUUGAGCCAGGGCAAGACUUAGGUAGGCCACAUUGAAGCUGCCGAAUAUAUAUGUUAUUGAAAUGGAGAGGCAAAUAAAAGUUGAGUGCUCCUAUUAUUUAAUAACUCACCUUCUGAACUGAAACUCGACCUCUUCACCGACGGCUAAUUAAAUAAUUACAGCUGCUUGCUGCUAAAUUACAGAUCAACCAACGAGAUCCAGAACACAGUGAUUUCCCAUUAAGAUCGGAUAGCAGAAUUCAAAGAAGCCCGAAAAGGAAGGAAGGGUGUUAUCUGUAAGGAUGGGGUGGGAGGAAGAUCAUGAGGAUAGCUACAGGCUCUUCCAUUUGUGCAGAUGAUAUUAUACAAGCAUGUGAAUAAGAAGACACUUUCCCUUUUCUUUUCUUGUUGGAGUGGAAGACUCGUUGACUUGAGGUGGGUCUCGUCAACUUCUUGUUACAGGAUCAUGUCCAUUGCUUAGUAUUCUAUUGGAUUGGUCCAUUGCUUAGUUAAUGGAUCGUGUCCAUAUAAUAAGUUAUUAAUGAAAUAAAAAAUAGUAUUAGAAAGUAUUACUACUUGGAUUUGAAGGUGGGUUGUUAUCAAGCAAAACCAAUCAUCGGCCUGAAAACAUUGAACGCGCAUGAGACCUGACGUAUGUGAGAGAUGACAGCAAAUAAAUCGCAAAUAGAAUGUUGCGGUUAAAUUAAUUUUUUUAAAAUAAAAAAAUAUUCAGAUAUUAUUAAUAAACUACUAAAUAAUAGUAGCAUUCCUUUAAAUAUUAGUAAAAAUCUAGGUAAAAUAAAUCCUUCUUUUUAAAAAAUAACUAAAUCUUAACUAUCACCAUAAUAUAUUAUGUAAAUAAACUACUAAAAGAAAAAUCAUGAUUAUAUGAAAGCCAUUAUGAUUUUAGCUCCUGCAUUAUUUUUCUCGAAAUAAAAACAACUCAGAUUUUUAGUUGAAAUCGUUCUUGUCUCGAUUAUAAGGACAUGUCACAGAAGAUCAUUUAUCUUGGAAUUAAAUUAUAUAAUUAGAGAUAUAAAAAAAAAUUGAAAACACAUUCUCUUAUAUAUCACAUUUCAUCAUGUUCAUUAACUACAAACAAUUAAAUUCAGAUUAAAUAGAUAUAAUUUAUACAUGUAUAUAAAAAUAACAACUUAACUAUUAAUUAUUUUUUUCUCUCGUCUAAUUUAAACUAUAAAUUCAAAAACUAAUGUUAACCAUUUCUCCUUAAAAAGCCCUCGACCUUAAAGUCUCCAUUGCCAUUCCUAUUUGGUUUUCUAGAUUUUAUAAUGAAGAGAGAGAUUGGGAAAGGAAGAAGAUAAUGUGUGUAUUGCCUUUCAGAAUUAAUUACAGGUUUUUCAUAUCACAUUUUUCAUGCUUAUCACCCACAAAUUAUUAAAUUAAAGUAAAAAUGACAUCAAUUAUAUAUAAUAAAAGUAAAAAUUUAACUAUUUAUUGUUUAAAACAUGUCAAGUCAAAUUUAUAGUAUUAUAAAUCAUAAGGUAAUCAUUGAAUACAUAUCGAAAAAAAAUGCAGGAUAAACUAAAAAUAAUAAUUGUUUGUUAAAAAAUAAUGGUUGUCAAAAUUAAAAAGACAACUAUAACCUUAGUCAAACUAAAACUAAAAUUUUAAUGUUAUUUAAAAAAAACACCUUUUAACAUAUUUUGUUUUAAUUUAAGAAAUUAAUAAAGAAAUAUAUAUAAUAUAUAUUUAGUUAUCUAAUUCUACAUCAAAUAGACUUAAAAGAAAAAAAAUGGCAAAAAAUAGUUAAGCACAUGAUCCAGGAGGCCCAACACGCCAAUCAACACAUGCUAACAUGUUUCGACUUCAUUUCUUAUUUUUAUUAUCAUUAUUAUUAUUUAAAUGGGAGGACUUUUUAAAAUAACCAUCCGAUAUGUUUUUUGUUGUGACAAAUUAAAAACACAUUAUCUAUUUGUUUUACCGUCAAGAAACUCUAGAGGCUGGAAGUCACCUGAAAAUUGCUCUUAGAAACACAAAACACCAUUUCAAUCAUUUUUUUCAUUUAAAAACACUUAGAAAUACAACGUAAACAUAACCUCUAAAUAAUGUUUAAUCGAUUAAAAAACUUAAAAUUUGUUCUGGUUAAAAAAAAAAUCCCCAAAAAAUCUACUUUUAUAGUAAAAUGAAGGGCAAUAUACAUCAAUAGAAUUCUUAUCUUGAAAUGGUAUUAUUAAUAUUAAAAAUAAUUUUUUUUGGUUGUUUUUUAAAAUAUUUUUUUCUUAAAUUAAUUAUAUUAGUAAAAGUUGAAUUGAGAAAAAAAAAACCGAAAAAUUUAAUGAGAAAAGGAAACAAACACUUUGCGAAUCCAAAACAAAUCCUCUCACAAGCCAUAUAGUGAUUAACAUAUGACUUUUAGUUUUUUGUAUAAUUUUGUAGUUAUUUAUAAAAUGUCUUAGAUAUAUAAUUAUUAAUGGAGUCGGGAUUAUGUUUUUGUUCUCUACAAAUCAAGAAAUUUGAUAUAUACAGUACUUAGAACAAAAAAGAAGGGUUACUGAUAAGUUAAUAUCUUUACAGCAGAAAAUCAAGUUAAAUAGUAUUACAUAAUAAUGUAUUUAAUUUAUUUUUCUUUGUGUAUGUGUCACACAUUACUGCUUUGUUUUUGUAGGUUUUGUGUUCGUGCCUCGAGGAGUAGGCAAAACUCGUGAUUGAAAUGACCACUGUUCAACAAAUGAGGUUAAAUAGUUGCACUUCUUAUUCAAACUUACUUGCUGGUCUGUUUUUACAAUUUUGAAAAAAUAAUUGAAAAAAAUUAAAUUUUUAUUUUAUAUUUUUUCUUUAAAUUAUUAUUUUUUUAUUUUUUAAAAUUUUUUAUGUACUAUUAUUAAAAAUAAAUUAAAAAAAAUACUAUUUCAAUAUAUUUUUAAAUAAAAAAUACUUUAAAAUUAAUUAUAAAAAAAAACUCUUAUUCUAUAUGUGAUUUGGCUGUGUUUCAAUCAGUUGAAAUUCGAAACAGUAGCUUCAUGAUGUUUAUCUCGAGCAGAAAAAUAAGUCUUUCCUUUGGUAAAUCUAUUUCUUGGUUAUCUCUGCAAAACUAAGUAAUUUUUUUUUCUAUAGAAAUGUUUUCAUAUUAUGAUUUGAGUUGUGAAUUUAAAAGGAUAAUUCAAGUUAUUUUUUUAAUUUUAUUAUUUAAUAUUAAGUUAAUUAAAAAUUAUAUUUUAUAAUUUUGUUUUAAUUUGUUUUCUAUGAGAUAAUCAUUGUCUCAUACUCAGGUCAUGAAUUUGACAUGUUAACUUACGUUGACCCGAGUCAAUCCAAUAAAUUGUUUUUUUAAUAUUAACAAUUUAUUGGAUUGACUCGGGUAAGAUAUUAUAUUAACCUGAAUUUGAUGUAAGAUAUUAUAUUAAUUUUUUUAGUUAAAUUAUAUUUUUACUAAAAACCUGCUAAAUAAAUCAGGUCACAUCAAAUCAACUCUUACAUUACUUAUUUUUUUAUUAGAAAAAACAUUAAUAAUAUUUGAAUAUUUUUUAUGUUAAAAUAAAUUUAGAUACAAUUAGCGCUACCAAUAAUUUAGUUUCCACUAAUAACAUUUUUUUUAUAUCGUAGUAUAAGUUGUUUUUCAAAAUAGCUUUUCGUGCUGAAAAGCAUGCCAAUAAUGUUUUAGGGUGUUUGGGAGUGUGGUAGCGGUUGCUUUUCAAAUAGUUUUUCGUGCCGAAAAGCAUGCCAAUAAUGUUUUUUUAUUUUUAAAAAAUUAUUUUUCAUAGCAGCACAUCAAAACGAUCCAAAAAGUACAAACCACACUUAAUUUUAGCAAAAAUAUUUUUUUUGAAAAUUUGCAAAAAGCAGAUUGCACCGCAGUGCUAAACGGCACCCAAGUUAAACAGUAUUACCUGAAACAUUUUGAUAUAUUAAUGUCUUUGUCCUUGGCGCAGCUUGACUUGCUAAUUUUAGGGUGUUCAACCCGAUAUUUUAAUUUUAUCAAGUAAUUUAAAUUAUUAUAAAUCUUAAUUUUAUUUUUUUUUUAAUUUUUUUUAUAUAAUUUCAACUUGAUAUGUAUUAAUGGAACGUGAUUGUAAUGCUAGAUGUUUGUAUGAAAAUAAUGGUUCGUGCCUUAUAACUAUAUGUUGAUUUGAGAAAAAAAAUGAAAAUAUGGUCAUAAGGCUGAUAACAUUCGCUUGUGAGGAUACAAAUUUAGCAUGAGGAAAAAAGUAAAUUUGAGUUACAUGGUUUUGAUUUCUCACAGUUGUGUCAGGAUAAUGUAAGUUUUCUUGUAAAAGUUUUUGGCCAUUUGAUUAUGCUAUUACAACAAACACAUGAACACUCUAGCCUUUAUUACAUUUCAAAAAGAAGGAAAGAAAGAAAACAAAGAAAAGACCCCCUUAUAAACUAGUCAUCAGUCUACAGAAGUUUUAGCUACUGGUUUGUUUUCUUGAUGGCUGUGUUUUAAAAAAAUUGAUUUUUAAAUUUUUUUAAAAAAAUUUUUAAACUAUUUUGAUGUACUAAUAUAAAAAAAAAUUUUAAAAAUAAAAAUAUUAUUUUUAUACGUUUACAAGAAAAAAAAUUUAAAAAACAAUAAAUAAUAAUAAUAAAAAAAAACAGAAGGCAAACUACUUUAUUACAUUUUUGCAUAUCAAUGAAAUCCAGCGGUACUAGUGGCAUCCCUUUUAUAUUGGAGAUGGUGAAUGCCAAUAUUCCACUCGUUAAAGCUGCAACAAAUUAUACAACAUAUUAAAAGGAACCAAUAUUUCUAUUAUUAUUUAUCUAUAUAUAAAGUACUGUAAUUAAUGUUAUUUAAAAAACACCUUUAAUAUAUUUUGUAUUCAUUUAAGAAAUUAAUAAAGAAAUAUAUAUAACAUAUAUUUAGUUAUCUAAUUUUACAUUAAAUUAUAUGUUAAAAAACACUUUUCAAAAAAAAAAAAAAAACAACUAUAACCUUAUUCGAACUAAAACUAAAAUUUUAAUGUUAUUUAAAAAACACCUUUAAUGUAUUUGGUAUUAAUUUAAGAAAUUAAUAAAUAUACACACACAUAUAGAGUUAACUAAUUCUACAUUAAAUAGACUUAAAAGGAAAAAUAAAUGCAAAAAAAUGAUCGAGCACAUGGAUCAAGGAGGCCUAGCACCCCCGUCAACAGGCUCAUACAUUUGGGCUUGAUUUUUAUUAUUAUUAUUUAGAUGAGAGCAAGGUUGUUAAAAUCGCGAUUUUAGAACGAAACGGAAAGCCCUUCACAAAAUCGGAUCGUAAAAUCGUAAAAUCGUAAGGAAUUUUGAAAUACAUUAAAAAAAAUUCAUGUUUCAAAUAAAAAUUCAUACAUAAUUCAAGCCUUCAAAUAAAAAUUUAUAUAUAGUUCAAGCAUCUUAAAAUACAGGAUUCAAAUAAAAGUCAUAUAUAAUAUAAAAUAACUUUUCAUUAACUAAUAAUCAACAAACUUAAAACAAACAAUCUGCUGGUGUGUAAUGUAAACUAAAACUAGCUUCAUUCCCUUCAUCUUACUCAUCAUUCCUUAAGCAUUCAUCACAAUAAAAAAAAUAUAUUGAUAUAAAAAAUAAAAAAAAUAUAAAUUCAGCAUUAUUAUAGUAUACAUAUUUAAAUAAAUAUUAAUUUUUAAAAGCAGCAUACACCACAAUAAUAUAUAUACACUACAUGUUACUUCAUUUAUAAGUCCGCAAAACAAUUAGUUACAUGUUAGAAAAAAUAAUUUGAUAUUAUUAUAUGAAAAUAAAAAAAACAUUAAAAAAUAAUUUAAAAUAAAAAUAAUAUUUUUUUAUAAAAACAUUUUCUAACCAAGAAAAAAAGCCUCUUAAAAAAAAUACUUUACUUGUACAAACAUACGAAAAUGAAUCCCACCUACUGAAAACCUAAAAAGAGAAAUCAAUCACAAAAAUCAAGGCUAAUUUGGGGGGGGGGAGCAAAUGAACAAUUAUAAUAUUGGGGGGAGGGGGUGCGGGAGCAAUUAUAUUGGGGGGGGGUCAAUUAUAAUAUUGGGAGGGGGGCAAUUAUAUUGGGGGAGUGGGGCCUUCAGAAAUUAUGUUGAAAUCGUAAAAUCGGUCCUGAUAUCGCGAUUUUACGCGAUAUCAUCCGAUUUUUACGAUUUUAUCCUAUUUCAAUCCGAUUUUACCCAUUUUUGAUUUUUUCAAUCGAUUCAACUCGUAAUGCAUGUUUUGACUCGUAAAAUGUACGAUUUUACGAGUCAAAACACGAUUUUGACAACCUUGGAUGAGAGGACUUUUUAAAGUAACUAAACGAUACGUCUUUUGUAGUGGCAAAAAACACGUCACCUAUUUAUUUCAUUGCCGAGAAACUCUAAAGGUUGGAUGUCGCUGGAAAAUUGCUUCCCACUCUUUUGACACAAAACAUCAUUUCAAGCAUUUCUUUCAUUUAAAAACCACUUAGAAACACCCAGCAAACAUAACCUCGAAACAAGUUUUAAAGUAAAAUACUCAAAAUUUAUUCCGGUUCAAAACAAAUUCCCAAAGGAUCUAUUUUUGAAGCAAAAAAUACAUCAAUAGAAUUCUUAUCUUGAAAUGGAACCCCCAUUAGCUUCAAGAACAAUUUGUUUCUGUUGCUAAAUUAUGGUUAACAAGACUGAAAUGUAAAUAAAAUAAAAUCAUGGACCAAAUAGUAUAAUUUUCAAGUUAAAGGGACCAAAACUAAUAUUGAACUAAAUUUUAAGUUUAAAAGGCUGUCAUGACCCAAUUUUUUUUUUUAUUAUUUUAUUUUAUUUAUCAAAAAUGAUAAUAAAAUAAAUGAAUGAUGCAACGAAAUAAAAAAAUGAUGAUUAAAAAGAAACAAAUAAAAAUAAAAUGAAUUAAGAAUGCAUUAAAUUUGGGUUAAAAUCAAAAUCAUACUCAUAUAUGCUAUUCUUACAAGCAACGUACAAACUGAAAGUUGUGUUUAUUUCACUUUAAAAAAGGUGCUCUCAAAUAAGGAAAACCUUUCAAUAUAAUAAUCACCCAUAUGCCAUUGAAAUAGAGAUUAAGGAUUUUCUUGGAAAAGAGAUUGCUCUGUCAAAGAAGGGGAUCGUUAUAUCCCAACAGCAGAUGUUCUUAAGGAGACUGGGAUGAGUGGCUGUAGGCUAGCAGACACUCCACUAGGUCCCCAUCACAAACUUGAAGAUGACAAGGAAGGUGAUUCAGUGUGAUUACAACACAUUAUCAAAAAUUGAUGGGAGAGCUGAUUUACUUAUCAAAUAUAUGAUCUAAUAUUGCAUUUGUUGUGAGUUUAGUAAGCUAGUUUAUGCGAUCACACCACGCAAAACAUCUUGAAGCAGUUUAUAUCGGAUUCUCAUAUACUUGAAAAGCACACCAGACAAGCGCAGAUAAUAAAAGCAUACACUGAUGCAGAUUGGGUGGGUUCAGUCAUUGAUAGAAGAUCAACAUUAGAAUACUGUACCUAAGUUUGAGGAAAUAUAGUCACAUGGCAAAGUAAGAAACAAAAUGUGGUUGCAAGAAGCAGUGCUGAGGUAGAAUAUAAGAAGAGAAUUCUUGAAGAAACUGUGAAUGCCUGUGAUUAUGUCAACAUUAACCAAGCUCCCGUUUCUUGUUUUUCUAGCCUAGGGAUCCAAUCUUUAUUUUGAUUUCCUAAUUUGUGGCCUUUCUAAUGUGGUGAUCUCCUCUACUAUUUUAUCUUGUAACCAUAUCUAUUGAAUGAAUAAGAAAUAAGAUUCUUCUUCUUCUUCCAAUAACCUACACACACAACACAGUAAUAGAAGAAGAAGAAGAAGAAUUCAUGGAUUCGUGCAUCGGUGAGUCUGAAAGUCAUGUGUAAACGCCCAUUACCUUCAUAUGUGGGUAUUUCCUAAGAGCACAUUCUGAAUGAGCAUCAAAGUCAUAUUUCUCAAACGGUAGAACCAGAGCUUUAUGAUUUUCACAAAUUUGACAGACAAAUUGGUAGUCAUUUGGAUCAUUACAGGUGAGGAAGAGAGGAUGGUCAUCGUACAUGUGUCUAGCUUUACAUGGCAGAGCAGCCCAUCUAUUACAUGUUGUAUUUAUUUUAAAAUAUAUUAAAAUAAUAUAUAUUUUUUAUUAUUUUAAAAUUAUUUUUAAUAUUACUAUAUCAAUCGAUUUGAAAAUAUAUAUAAAAAAAUAAUUUAAAAUAAAAAAAUAAAAAUAAAAAUAAUUUUAAAAAUUAUUUUUAAAACAUAAAAAUAUAUAAGCUUUUAAUACCAAAAAGACUAAGAAUAUUGCUAGUAGUAUGCAAAGGUUGGAGAUUUUUAAUUAAAUAUCUAUGAAAUUAAAGCGAAAAUAAUUUGAUAACAAUUUUAAUUCGAGACAAGAUAAGAUUGAUAUAUAUGAUAUAUAUAUUUUUUAAAUAAACAGUCUGGGUAUAAUUUUUUUUUUUAUCUCAAUCCAACUCAAAUUUUAUUAGUCAUUUAAAAUCAGUAAGACUUUCAAAUAAAACCACAAAAACUAUCUAGACCUGUACUAUUUUAUUAGUUGAUAUAGAAUUUUUUUCCUAUUUAUUUAAAAAAAAUUAUUUUUUUGAGGAUUUUUUAAUAUAUAAACACUAUAAUAUUAUAUUUUAAUUAGAUAAUUAUGAUUUUUAUGUUGUAAUUUUACUUAACUCUAAUUUUAUGUGUACGUUUUGAUGUAGAAAUUAUAAACUGUCUCGCCGAAAAAUCAUCUUGUCUAACCAAAUAAUCGAAAGGGGAUAUGGGCUUCUAAAUCCCUUCUUAAGAAGAUCAAGGCUUAUUCUUAUUCUUCUUAAAAAAAAUACCAAAAACAUGAAUUAAUACUCUUCAUUAUAUAUCUUAAAGGAAAAGGCUAUCGGAUGCCCUUGAGGUGUUCGUUUUAAAUAUUAUUUAAAUACAUUUAUUUAUAAAAUAUCAGUUAGAUAAGUGUUAUUUUAUAUGACAAUAUUUAUAUGCAUUUACAAUAAAAUCUUUAACAAAAAUGUAAAGGCAGAAUUUAUGGAGAGCUUCCUGCUAAGCAAAAAAAAAAUAAAAAUGGUGGAAGGUAACACAUCUUCGUCACUUACGAAGGGACAAAGAAACAACAAACUACAUUGACAGUUUUAAUGAAAUAGCAUCUUUUAUUGUUCAGAAAAAAAAAAGAGAAAAAAAAAGUGAUCUGAUAUGCGAAAAUAGAAACAGAGAUAAUAAGUAUGAAGCUAACCAUUCACCCCAACAAUCAUAACCCAAAAAUAAGAAAAAAGCCAACAACUACAAUCCAAUUACCGUUUUAAUGAGUUAAAGCAUCGCCAUCUUUCCCAGUGGACGAUAAAACUGCAGUUAGUAUCAGUACAUUCAAGGGCCAAGUCAUCGCAAGGCUCACCGCAACAAUCGCAUGCCUGCGGACGAUAAUCCCCUGUCUUGUCGACCAAAGCAAGAGGGUGAGGGUGAUUAGGAUAUGUUAGAACCCCCCCUCGCUUGAAAUAUGGGUAUUUCCCGAGAGCACAUUCAGGAUGAGCAUCGAAGUCGCAUUGCUCACAACGGUAGAACCAGAGCUUCGGGUCUCUAUCUUUUUCACAAAUUAAGCAGGAAGGCUGGUAGUCAUUUUCAUUAAUGUAGGUGAGGAAGAGAGGAUGGUCAUCAUACUCGUGUCUUGCUUUGUAUGGCAGUGUAGCACAUUUCAUACCCAGCUUGAAAUCGCAAACCGCACAUUUAAAAAAUACCUUUGAUUCUUCACUGACACAACAGCCACUGCAAUGGGGAAUAAUCUCUCCGUCCGCUGCAAGCAAAGGGGGAAUCCCGCGACCUCCAAUAUUGCAACGGAGAAUAUUCUUUCUGCCCGCUGGAAGAUAAAGGGGAUGCUCAUGACCUCCAUGUUUAGUGGAAUCUUUCAAUGAUUUGAAGCAUCGGACAUCAAUGCAGAGUCGACAUACAUCACAUAUGUACCUGAGCCCACUAAAAAGUUGACGACACACAUCACAGUAGCACAGAUCAUGUGCCCCUUGGAUCCAUGAAAGAAUCAGUUGGUUUUCGUGAUAUUGCCACUUUUUUUACCUGGAUAAUUCUAUGCAGGUUUUGUCGAGAAAGAAAUUACAACUUGCACAACUAUAAAAUGGAGUUGAGAUUGGUAACAGGCACCCAUCACACUUUAAAUCAUCAUCAACCUUGUCAAUAAGGAUUAGGUUAUGUUGAUGACUGAAAUGGUCGAUCUCUUCAAUUAUUCUCUCCUCUCCAUGCUUGAUUUCACGGACAACGCGAAAGCUAGGUUCCAUGAAUUGAUCAUCAGCGGUCACACUUUGCUCUUCUUCGUUUUCUUCUACAAUCUCUGUUGCAGAAUCGCCAUAUUCUCUACUACAAUUCACGUGUGCAACGAAGUCACAGUCUGGGCAAUAGUAAACUCCGUAUUCUGUGUCAACUUCCCGACAGCAAAUUCCACAGUACUUCUUUAUAGAUUUGAUACAUUGUUGAGGAUGAUAGGUGUGGAUGAUUUGGGGAUGAUGGUGCAGUGCCGUUUUAAGGGUGCGUGGCAAUGAAAUGCAUUUUCGUGGACCAGAGUUGGCACAUAGUGCAAAAUGGGAGUCAUCUCCAUCUGUGCCACAUGCAUUGCAAGUGAAGGAGAUUGAUUUUAAUGAGAGUGGAUUCAGUAGGCGUCUAAAUUGAUGCCUUUGAUCUGAUCAGCUGCAUAAAUGCACGGUGGAAAAGCACAUUUGAUAUGGAGGUUGAAUUCGCACACAAAAAAAGUAAACAAAACUCUCAUAGCAAGUUUCGUUGCAAAAAUCACAGAUCAUAUCAUGAUUUGGCAGUAGACAAAGAGGGUGUUCUGGAUGCAAAUGCUGCUUGAUCUCUGGGGGUAGCUCAGCACACUUCUUGUGAAGAAAGGAGUUGCAAGAAGUGCAACUAUAGCUAGGACCCGACAUUGGUUCCUUGCAAACAGAGCACUUAACUCCUUCACCAUAAUAUUCUUUCUCUCCAUUCAAAAUCAAUGGAUGAUCCUUGUGGGCAAAUUGAUGUGCCGGACUAUCAACUUCCAAAAAACCCGGUUGAAAAGCACAUUUGAUAUCAAGAUCAAAUUUACACAAAGAACAAUGGUAAACAAAACUGUUGCAAGUUUUGUCGCACCGAUUACAAACGCAUUUGACAUUAUAUUGUCGAUACGGUGGCUUUGGCAGUAGAUGUAAAGGGUGUCUACGAUGAAUGCGCCGCUUGAUCUCACGGGGCAGCUCGGCGCAUUUCUUAUGAAGAAAGAAGUAGCAAGAGGUGCAACUGUAGCAAGGACCCCAUAUUGGUCCCUCGCAUCCAGAGCAAAUAACUAGUUCACAACUAUACUCGAGAACUUGAUUAAUGAGGAUCAAUGGAUGAUCUGGGUGGCUAAAAUGUUCAACCUCCAUGUCUCUGGCUCUCUCAGAGGACAGAGCAGGAAAUGAGGGUUGUUGAGCCAAGGCAAGACUUAGGUAGGCCAGAUUGAAGCUGCCGAAUAUAUAUGUUAUCGAAAUGGAAAGGCAAAUAAAAGUUGAGUGCUACUAGAAUUCAAUACCUCACCUUCUGAACUGAAACUUGACCUCUUCACCGACGACGGCUAAUUAAAUAAUUACAGCUGCUUACUGCUACAUUACAGAUCAACCAACAAGAUCCAGAACACUGUGAUUUCCCAUUAAGAUCGGAUAUCAAUCAAUUGCUGGGGAAGCGUUUUCUUCCUUCUUCCCAUUUAUCAAAGAUAGCCGAAACGAAAAAUAAUUCAAAGGACUUAAAAUUCAAAGAGGCCCAAAAAGAAAGGAAGGGUGUUAGCUGUAAGGAAGAGGUGGGAAGAAGAUCAUGAGGAAAUCUACAAGCUCCUCUAUUCGUACGGAUGAUAUUGUUCAAGCAUGUGAAUAAGAAGACACUUUUCCAUGUCUUUUCUGGUUGGAUAAGAAGACUCGUUGACUUGAGUUGGGCUCCUCAACUUCUUAUAUUACUCAUUUGCCCAUGGAUAGCGGUUUAAAAUUGCUUUCUAAACGGUAUUUUUAAUAAAAAAAUAUUUAAAAUUAAGUUUUUUGUAUUUUUAAAUAUGUUAAUAUUAAAAAUAAUAUUUAAAAAAUAAAAACAUUUAUUUUAAUAUUUUUUCAAAUAAAAAAAGUAUUUUAAAAAAUAACUACUAACACCCUUCUAAACUUUUUCCAAGUAGAGGUAAUUCAAAUUAAAAAUCUAAUGAUAAAAUCCUUUAAUUAUUAAAAUCAUAAAUUAAUAAUUACAUGUAUAUAUAAUUAACAUAUUUUAUCUAAAUCUCAAAUACGUCUUUUUUUUUUCUAUCAUAACGAAACUAUAUCAAUUAAUAAAUUUAUAAAUGUUAACUAUACUUUAUAGUUUAAUUUUUAUAAUAAAAUGAUUUUACUCUUAAUAACCUAGAAAUGUGAAACAAAUACAUAAUUAACUAAACUUAUGAUAUUUCAUUUAAAUUAACUAAAAUAUUUUAAGCAAAUUGCACAUAACGUAGAAGUUUAAUGUUAUAUAUUCUGCCUUUUAUUGAAUAACUUAACUAAAAAUUAAAGAUAUAAUUAAUUGAUAUAAUUACACUUAUAAAAGACUUAUUAGAAAUAAUCUUUACGAUAUAAGGAAAUAUGAGGUACUUAUCAUGAGUAAGUGAUAUUUUUUAUAUCAAAAUAAAUUUGUGAAGGUCGUGUGACUUCUUUGUUAAUUUGAAUGGAAAAAAUAAACAGAACAUGUUAGAAAAAAUCAUUUAUCUUGGAAUUAAAUUAUAUAAUUAGAGAUAUAAAGAGAAAUUAAAAACACAUUCUCUUAUACAAGGAUUCAUUAAUUAAACCAUUUCUCCUUAAAAAACCUCCGACCUCAAAGUCUCCAUUGUCAUUCCUAUUUCGUUUUCUAGAUUUUAUAACGAAGAGAGGGAUGGGGAAAGGAAGAAGAUCAUGUGUGUGUUUCCUUCCCAAAUUAAUCACAGGUUUUUAGAAUUUAUAUAAACAAAUGUCUUUAUUAUAUUAUAAUAAGAAAAUGUCUGAUGAGGUAAAUUUUGUCUGGUAUGUGGUUAUUCUUUUUUGGUAUACGAUGGAUUUGGAGGAGAAAUAUUUUAGCUUUUAAGAAGGAGUAUUUAGGGGAUAACCAAUUGUUACGUUAAAUUUACUUUCUAAAAGAUGUGUUUAGCGAUACUUAAAAUAAUUCAACUAUUAUGCGUACGCACUUUACUACUAUCUCAUGACUUAAGCUUGAAGAAGAAUUUAUUAAACUAGAUGUGAAUGACACCUUUCUUCGGAACCCGGGGAGAAUUGGAUUUGGGGUCUCAUAGGAAAUUUUGAAGGGAGAUAGUUGAUGGGUUGUAUGAGUUAUAGAGGUUUUGAUUUUAAUCUACUUCUAGAAUUACUAGGAAUUAAAUAUUGUUUAUCGGUAACAUGAGAUAGAGAUUACAAAAAUAUCAUAUGCAACUCUGAUUCUAUAGAAGUUAUUCAAUUGAUUUAUAAUGAUUUUAACAACUAUCAUUUAUUCGAACUUGUUAUUUUUUACAUUAAAGAGCUCCUAACACGAAAUUAAAAAGUUCGUUUGUUUUAUACUUUGCGUGAAGCUAAUUCAUGUGCUUAUUAUAGAGCUAAACUUGCAGCUACAAGUGACUCUAAUUUAUAUAUUUGGGAGAACCCUCCUCCAAGAGUUUGUCCUUUAUUAUUAUUUGAUUCUCCAAGUUUUGUUUAUCUUAGAGCAUCAUAGUUUUUUCUUUUUUCUUUCCACUGUACCAAAAAAAAAAAUAUCUUUAUUAUAUUCAUCAUGUCCAUAUAAUAAUUUGACAGUGAAUACACAGUAAAGUAUGAAUUCAUUAAGAUUCACCCUCUCGUAUUUUUUAUGUCAUAUUUCAUCAUGUUCAUUAACUACAAACAAUUAAAUUCAGAUUAAGUAGAUAUAAUUUAUACACAUAUAUAAAAAUAACAACUUACAAGCUAUGAGUAAGCCAACUUUACCAAAUAUUUGAAUUUUAAAGAAACUUGAGUCAUGUAUAUCAAGAAAUCUGAUGCCUGGUCUUAAUAAGUACACAGCUCAUUUUAUUAUCAAUUAUAGCUCCUUCUAGCAGAGCUAUUUUCCAAUUUCAUUUUCCCAAUUACAGUUAAGAGGGUAUUCAAACCUUUUCUCAAACAUGUUUGAAAUUCUCUUAAUGAAUUCAAUUUUGAGAUUUCAAUAAAAUUUCAUGUUUGGAAUAUUUGAAGUAUUGAGAAUUGAAUUUCAAAUGAAAAUUCAUUCUCAAAAUUUUUUAAGUAUUAUAAAUUUGCGUCAUGCAUACAAUCUUAGGAUUGAGAGGAAGGAUGAAAGGCUGACAACCAUAGCAGUAGAAAAUUUCCUGACACCAAAUUAACAAGAAGUUACUGUGUAUUUUCUACUAUUGUUUACCACUAUCUGAAUUGUUUUUAUUUCCACCAUGCAGUCUUGCACAAAAGUUGCUGUCGACUUCGUCUCACCUGAAAAUAUAAGGGAAUGCCUCCAGUUAACUGAAGAGUUUCGACAACUUCCAGUGAACCGUAGAGCUAGAGAGGAUAAACUAGAGGUAACUUCUUUCCUGAUACAAAUAUAUUAUGCAUCGAUUACAUUAUUUUAACUUUAUUUCUUCAUCUUUUUUAACAAUGUGGAACAGAUAAAGAAAAUGAUAAUCUAUGCAAUCGAUAAAGCCAUUAUAGACUUGCAAGAGCUAACAAAAUCACAGCACUGAGCUUUGCCGCGGCUACUUCCAACAGGCAGGCAGACACCACAGAUCCAGCAGCAGCACAUUUUUUUAUUCUCUUUUAGAUUUCCAUAAGUACAUACAUUGCCCUCACCCUGUUGUCAUGGCUGCACUAAAGGCUAUCGGCAGCAAUUUUCUCGAAGUUGCCAUUGAAAUAAAAUAAAAGGUUUAAUUAUGAGCACAUCGCCUCUUUGUUCUUGUUUGGUUUUUAUGGAAUUUUUUUACUUGCAUAGUUGCUCUUGGGUUCUGUUUGAAGAAAACAAUGCCUGCAUUACCUCUGCCUACUGCUUGAUAUUUGGCUGGCCACUUCAUGGGCAUGGAAAGAUGUAACGGAUGGGAUCCAUGAUCCAAGAGCUUAAUUCAAAGUUGAAAAAGAAACAUGCUCUCACGUCCAACUUUCCUUAUAAUGGGACAUGAUGCCAGGUAUUCAAGCUUUUGAUUUGUUUUAACUCGUUCAAGCAAAUCUGGAUCUGCAUGAUAAACAAGCAUAACAUUGAGAUUGUGUUUGAUAUUGUGGUAGUUUUUAUGGUUGUGGUUUGAAAAAAGUUGUUUUAUAAAAAGUAUUUUUAGUUGAGAUUGGUUUGAAAAAAAUAAAUGUUUAGUUAAAACUGUAGUUGAAAUUGAGGUUGAAAAAUAAUAAUUUUAAUGUGUUUGGUUAAGAAUGCUUUUGAAAUUGAGGUUAUUAUAUAUAAUAUAUAUAUAUAUAUAUUUUGAUGGUUUUAAUUUAAAUACUGUGGAUUUAACUAUUGCUAUUAUUACAUCAUGAAAUAAAUUACACUUUAUAUAAAAAAAUUACUUUAACAGAAAACUAUCUACAAUUCCAUUACGUACAAAAUUUAUCUGACAAGAACUACAAAAUUAGAUAAAAUAUUAUCAAGAAUAAAAUUAAGAUUACAGUACGAGUAAAUUUAAUUCACCUCAAACUAAUUUUUUUUAAAAAAAUUAUUAUUCAUGUUUACGUGAAUAGUGCAACUAAAAUCAAUUAACCACACUGAUUUUUUAAAAUAAAAAAAAACUGUUCAGUGAACAGUAGAGCAUGGAUCAGGAUUUUAGCCGCGCAGAAAGCAGCUCCUAGCUGCUUUUUUUUUUUCUUAUGUUGCACACCGUGGGAUUCAUAAACAGUGACAAACGUUUGUUAAUUAACCAAACAGCUUGUUGCAUGAAAUCGCAGGAAAUGUGUACACUAUAACGUUGCCAAACGGUUUCUAAAGCUAAGCUGAUAGCAUAUCCAAACUUGUAUACAUUUUCUGAGUAGAUCAACCCAACAAAGACCCGUGUCACAAAUUUUUAUUAAGAAAUUAAUCAAUUUAAGCCAAUCUGACGCGGUCGAUUCUGAACGGCGGCGCUUCGUCUGAUGAUCAUGGAUCGAUUGAGGCCGUUGAGGCUGCGACUCCGGAUGUGGUUGAUGGCGUGUUUUGUGGGAAGAGGAUUACGGUUUUGCCACCGGUGACGGCGAGUGCGGUUGCGGGACUGGUUUCUGGUGUGGAGGUUACGGCGAAGACGAGGCUUCCAGUGAGGAGCAAGGCGGUGGUGAGUUUCCGGUGGGGAGUUCGGGUUCCGGCUGAAAUUAAGAGUGGCGGUGAAUCAACGGCUGGGAUUAAUUUUAGGACGAUACCGGUCUUUGUGAUGAAUAAGAUUGGAAUUGAACACGUGGAUGGUAGGGAUGAGAGGAGUAAGAAGGAGGGGGCGACAAGGAAGGUGGAGAUGGAUUCGGGGAAUGCUGAGGUGGCAGAGGCGUGUUUGGGUGUGGAAAGGCAAUUAGAGGUUUUGCAGAGCGAGAACGGGCAUUUGAGGAAAGCAGUGGAGGAAUUGAGUGAAGAAAUUGGCGGAGGGAAAUUAUUAGUUGGGGAUUUGGAUUCUGGAAAAUACGAGAGAAAUGGAAUUAAAAGCCCCGAGUAGAAAGGAGGAGAAACAAUGAGAGGAAGAAAUCAAUGGAAGGAGAUUGAAGAAGAAGGCAUCUAAUGGAACAGCUACUAGUGGUAAUUUGUCCUCGAAAUUACUGGAUAGUUAUAAUUUGGUGCUUAAUACAUUAAGUUUUUUUUUUCAUAUCAAUUUUUCAGUUUAUUUAGGGUCUUAUGAACUAUGUUUUUUUGGGUUUUGGUUGGUUUAGUCAUGUAAGAUAAAGAUGUAAAUUAAUUAAAAUCAAUUGGGUUAUUAGUGUUUUGGAUAAGGAAUUCGAAAUUAACUGUAAGUUUAAUUUUUUUUUGUUGGUAGUAUUGUUAAGGGGAUGUUCGGGAGAGUUGUAGGAAUUGAUUUUAAAAUUAUUUUUUAUUUAGAAAUGUAAUAAAAUGAUAUAUUUUUUAAAAUUUUUAAAUAUAUCAAACUAAUUUAAAAAUAUAAAAAAUUAUUGAUUUUAAAUAAAAAUAAGUAAAUUUUGCUCAAUUUCUAAAAGAUUUAUUUAUAUGAAUCCCCUGAUUGGCGCAUUCAACAUUUUGAUUUAUCAUAGAGAUGAAAGUUGGAGCUUUAAUUUUGUUUUUACUACUCUCAUUUAACCAUAAUGUUUAAAUUCACUACGCCAUUUGUUAAAUCUCUUAAUAUUAGGGGUGAGUAUUUUCAUACAGAUUGAUUUUGGUUUGGUUUGCUUCGUGGUGCUAAAAAACCAGCAAAUCUGAAAAAAUGACUUAUCAGAUAUCAUCAAGAACAGCAGAAACUAGUUCUCGGCAUCUGAAUCAAUGAACCUUUUGUAAACAUCAAGCAAAUGGAAGGUCUCGUAUCAAUGUUUGAAUGAAUUUUUAAAAAUAGCACUCACUAGAUAGAUACUUCACCGUGAUUUGUUGCAGAUUAAUUUUUUUUUUAUUUAAUAACAAAAAUUAUAUACACAUGUUUUUUUGAUAUAUUUUUGUAAUUAAAAAAAUUCUAAGUCAAAAUUCAAAAAGCUUAUACAGAACUCUCUGGUUCUUAUACAUAGGAUCUCCAAUUGCAGGUUCUGCUGUUGAAAAGCUGCAGGAAAUUAAUGGUUAUGUAAGCAUAGGCUACCCUUUUGGCUUAACUGCUUCAAUUCUGUUUGCGCGACACUCUGAAAUGGAAGGACCUAAUUAUGAUGCUCAGAUGGUGGAUUUAAUUCUGGGUUUCCUUGCAUCUUUGAAGGGAUCAACAGCCUAACCAACCAAAGCAUUUGCACCACUAACUUGUAGAAUCACCAGAAACAUAACAAAGUCAAAGUAAGGUAUUGAGACUUGAACAAUCAUAAAGAAAAUCGUAUGGAUAGAUGAUCCUGUGUAUCAAUCUGCAAUGCUUAAACAUGAAUGGAGAACAUCAUGUUUAGAUCCAAUCCCUUUUUGCCUUCACGUUGACAUUGGUUAACUUUCAUUUUGCUUACAUUUUGAUCUUCAGGAUUGGCGCAUUUAGGUUUGAUUCCAGAAGAAGAAUUUGGGAUAUAGCAUUGAUCAAGGAAAGCGAGGAAAUCGAAACAGUUAGUUAUCAUCACGAACAAGUUUUCACACUUUAGUAUGUCAUCCACGCUAUGUAUACUGUGGAAAACUUACACAGUUUUUUUUUUUUUUGCUUUUCUGGAAUGAGUGUAUGUAUCAACUUUCCGAGAUAUCUCCUGUCUAAUUGUUAGGGUUUAGGAAGUAAGUUUUUCCAGGCAUCAUUGUUUGGUUUAGUCAUGUGAAACGUUGGUGCUAUUAGUUAAAUGCGUCAGCAUGUAUUUGGACUACAGAAAUGAAAGUUCAGGUGAAUAAGUUCAAGCUAUCUCGUUUCACAUCAAAGCUUAAAGCAUCAUAAAUCUACUUGCUGGAGAUUGAAUGGCAAUGUUCUUUUUCAAAAGCAACAUUGCGAAGGAACAAAGAAGGGGAAUUAUCGCACUUGAGGUCUUGGCCCAGCGGUUGAAGGGACUUGUUCCCUUUCUCUGCAUCCUGGGUUCAAACUUCACCGUGCACGUCUAUCACCCCCGCGGUGUCUUACAUGCUCACUGGGUUUGCACGAUGUUCAGUGAGCUGUGGGAUUAGUCGUGGUGCGCGCAAGCUGGCCCGGACACCCACGUAAAUCAAAAAAAAAAGAAAAAAAGAAGGGGAAUUAUCAGUAUAGAUACCAGUAAUGUCAGAUAGGACUUUUGGUGAAAGUGGGGAAAUUUAGAUUUAAAUAAUGAUUUAUACAUUCUAGUUCUUGAAUUGCAAUGAAUUCAUUCAAGAUCUCCUGGAAGGAUUUGAGAGGAAACGGCGAAGCAGAGCUGCCAUGCUCUACCAUUAGAUUUGUACAUGUCAACAUCUUGCUGCAAAUUGUGCUGGAAAAAAAAAAUGGUAAAAACGCACUGUGUUGCUGGAUAGCAGUACAAAUGCAUUAUAAUGUUAAGAUGGCACUUGAGGAAAAUUAUUGGUAGCAAAUUGUGCAUACAGUGGGCAUGGGGUGAAAAACCUUCCAUAGCAUCAUCCUCUUGGUCCUAACAAUUGUUUUGUUCCUGAAAUAACUUGCGAUUCAGGUGUACCUGCUACAGAAACAUUUUCUACAGUAAUUCAAGGCCAUUCCGGAGCUGGCCUUCUGCUUGUUCUGAUCAAAUUUACAGAUUCAAAGUUCAUUGGGUGGUUUGCAGCUUUGUCCUUCAGUCCUGAUGGCAAGUUUACAGUGAAGAGCACUUGGUAGUUUGUGAGAAAGAAGGGACACAGAGUUGACUGGUAGAAGAAACUUCUGUGGGGUUCGCUAAACAUUCCUAGGCAUAGCUUCAUAGCUUUGUACCACGAAUAUUGUCUUAUUUUUUAUUUUGUUUUACACCUCAUUUCUUUUUAGAAAAUAAUUAAGGCUCUUGUUAUAAAUGGAUAAUAUCCCUUAGAUUCAUUAAAGUUCAAUCAUUAUUUAUUGAUGUUGGCUUGUUGAAAUCUACCUUGAUGCAAAUAUUUCAAACAAAAUCAUUAAAUAUAUUUUUGAGCUUCUUUCUUUUUUAUUUUAUAAUUAACCCAACUAGAAUUUCUAAUGGAUAAUUUAGUAUAGUUUAAAUUGUAUUAUAUUAACCUCGCAACGUGUACCAUAUACCAAAUAUCAAAUAUGUUUAAUAGCUUUGUUUAUUAUAAUUAAUGUUUUGUUUAAUAAAAUAAUAUAAAAAAUAUGAAUAGAAGAGCAAUCAAAUAAAAUUAAAAAAAAAUAAAAAUUAUAAGUACAACUACAUAUAAGAAAUGCCUUCUAAUAUAAAAAAAAUAUUAAAUUUUAUUUUUAAACUAAGUAAAAGUUAAAAUAUUCUAUUAAAAAAACAUCAUGAAAUAUUAAAAAAAACAACCAAUAAAAAUACAAAAUUAAAAAAAAAAAAAAAAAAAAACUAAGGUAGCCCAACACAUGAUGAACAUUGUUUUUUUUUUUUUUAGAUCAAACCGGAUCUAGGGUUAAGUAUAAACAUGUGAAUCGUUUAAUUGUAAGAACAAUUAAAAGUCAUGUUCUGAUACCAAAUUUGAUGCGGAACAAUAAAUAAUAGGAAUUAAAGCAAGAAAAAUAAAAACAAUAAGACAUGCUCAAAUGAGCUUAGUCUCUCAACCAAAGUGUGACAGGCUGGGGCAUCCUACUUCGCCUUCGUCUAUAUACUUGUGUAAUUUACAGUGUGGGUCUGGUGUCCCGGCCAUUUAUUUAAAUGCAUUUAUUUAAUAUUAGAUUAUGUUAAGGAAAUAAAAAUUAAAUAUUUGAAUGAAAAUAAUUGAUAUUAGUUAAGAUAAGUGUUAUUUUAUAUGCCAAUAUUUUUAUGCAUUACAUCAAAAUCUAUAACAAAAAUGUAAAAGCAGAAUUUAUGGAGAGCUUCCUGCUAAGCUAAAAAAAUGGUGGAAGGUCAGACAUCUUUGUCACUACGAAGGCUCAAAGAAACAACAAACUACCUUCACAGUUUUAAUAGAAUAUGAUUGAAGAUGAAAUAGCAUCUGAACAAUAUUGUUCAGAAAAAAAUAGCAUCUUUUAUUGUUCAGAAAAAAACAGAGAAACAAAAGAGUGAUCUGAUAUGCGAGAAUAGAAACAGAGAUAAUGAGUAUGAAGCUAACCAUUCACAGUGGAAUAGGGCUACGCCACAAGUUUAGCCAACAAUCCAAUUACCAUAAUGGCAUCCUGCAUUGCCAUCUUUCCCUGUGGACGAUAAAACUGCAGCUAGGAUCAGUACAUUCAAGGGCCAAGUCAUCGCAAGGCUCACCACAAGUAUCGCAUGCCUGCGGACGAUAAUCCUCUGUCUUGACGACCAAAGCAAGAGGGUGAGGGUGUUUAGGAUAUGUGCGAACCCCCCCUGGCUUGACGUAUGGGUAUUUCCCGAGAGCACAUUCUGGAUGAGCAUCGAAGUCGCAUUCCUCACAACGGUAGAACCAGAGCUUCGGGUCUCUAUCUUUUUCACAAAUUAUACAGGAAGGCUGGUAGUCAUUUUCAUUAAUGUAGGUGAGGAAGAGAGGAUGGUCAUCAUACUCGUGUCUUGCUUUGUAUGGCAGUGUAGCACAUUUCAUACCCAGCUUGAAAUCGCAAACCGCACAUUUAAAAAAUACCUUUGAUUUUUCAGGGACACAACAGCCACUGCAAUGGGGAAUAAUCUCUCCGUCAAAUGCAGCCCAAGGGGGAAGCCCGCGACCUCCAAUAUUGCAACGCAGAAUACUCUUUCUGUCCGCUGGAAGAUAAAGGGGAUGCUCAUGACCUCCAUGUUUAAAAGAAUCUUUCAAUAUUGAUUUGAAACAUCGGACAUCAAUCCGGAGUCCACACAUAUCACAUGUGUACAUGAGCCCACUAAAAUAUUGAGUACACACAUAGCAGUAGUCCAGAAAAUGUUCCCAUGGGCGACUCCAUGAAAGAAUCAGUUGGUUUUCGUGAUAUUGCCACUUUUUUCGCAUGGGUAAUUCUAUGCUGCAGGUUUUGUCAAGAAAGAAAUUACAACUGAUACAGCUAUAAAAUGAAGUUGAGAUUGGUAACAUGCACCCAUCACACUUUAGAUCAUCAUCAACCUUGUCAGUAAGGAUUAGGUUAUGUUGAUGACUGAAAUGCUCGAUCUCUUCAAUUAUUCUCUCCUCUCCAUGCUUGAUCUCACGGACAACGCGAAAGCUAGGUUCCAUGAGUUGAUCACCAACAGUCACACAUUGCCCUUCUUCGUUUUCUCCUCCAGUAUUUGUUGCAGAAUCGCCAUAUUCUCUACUACAAUUCACGUGUGCAACGAAGUCACAGUCUGGGCAAUAGUAAACUCCGUAAUUUGAGUCAACUUCCCGAAGGCAGAUUCCACAGUACUUGUUUAUAGAUUCGAUGCAUUGUUGAAGUUGAUAUGUGUGGAUGAUUUGGGGAUGAUGGUGCAGUGCUGUUUUAAGGGUGCCUGGCAAUGAAAUGCAUUCUUCGUGGACCACGAGAUGGCACAAGGUGCACAUGAAAGGGGAGCCAUCUCCAUCUGUGCCACAUGCAUUGCAGGUGAAGGAGAUUGAUUUGAAUGAAAGUGGAUUCAGUAGGUGUCUAAAUCGAUGCCUUUGAUCCUGAUCAGCUGCAUAAACGCACGGUGGAAAAGCACAUUUGAUAUGGAGGUUGAAUUCGCACACAAAACAGCAGUAAACAAAACUCUCAUAGCAAGUUUCGUUGCAAAAACCACACAUCGUAUCAUGAUUUGGCAGUAGACGAAGAGGGUGUUCUGGAUGAAUGUGCCUCUUGAUCUCUGGGGGUAGCUCAGCACACUUCUUGUGAAGAAAGACGUUGCAAGAAGUGCAACUAUAGCUAGGACCAGACAUUGGUUCCUUGCACACAGAGCACAUAACUCCUUCACCAUGAUAUUCUUGCUCUUCAUUCAAAAUCAAUGGAUGAUCCUUGUGGGCAACUUGAUGUGCCUGACUAUCAACUUCCAAAAAACCCGGUUGAAAAGCACAUUUGAUAUCUAGAUCAAACUUACAGAAAGAACAAUGGUAAACAAAACAGUUGAAAGUUUUGUCGCACCGAUUACAACGGUAUUUUCCUUCAUAUGGUGACUUUGCCAGUAGAUGGAGAGGGUGUCUACGAUGAAUGCGCCGCUUGAUCUCACGGGGCAGCUCGGCGCAUUUCUUAUGAAGAAAGAAGUAGCAAGAGGUGCAACUGUAGCAAGGACCCCAUAUAGGUCCCUCGCAUCCAGAGCAAAUAACUAGUUCACAACUAUAUUCGAGAACUUGAUUAAUGAGGAUCAAUGGAUGAUCUGGGUGGCUAAAAUGUUCAACCUCCAUGUCUCUGUCUCUCUCAGAAGACAGAGCAGGAAAUGAGGGUUGUUGAGCCAAGGCAAGACUUAGGAAGGCCAAAUUGAAGCUGCCGAAUAUAUAUGUUAUCGAAAUGGAAAGGCAAAUAAAAGUUGACUGCUACUAGAAUUCAAUACCUCAUCUUCUGAACUGAAACUCGACCUCUUCACCGACGACGGCUAAUUAAAUAAUUACAGCUGCUUACUGCUACAUUACAGAUCAACCAACGAGAUCCAGAACACAGUGAUUUCCCAUUAAGAUCGGAUAUCAAACAAUUGCUGGGGAAGCAUUUUCUUCCUUCUUCCCAUUUAUCAAAGAUAGCCGAAACGAAAAAUAAUUCAAAGGACUUAAAAUUCAAAGAGGCCCAAAAAGAAAGGAAGGGUGUUAGCUGUAAGGAAGAGGUGGGAAGAAGAUCAUGAGGAAAGCUACAAGCUCCUCUAUUCGUAAGGAUGAGAUUGUUCAAGCAUGUGAAUAAGAAGACACUUUCCCAUGUCUUUUCUGGUUGGAGAAG
rnacentral:lncRNA from 1 species